rnacentral:lncRNA from 1 species
GUUGAUUCUGGGUUUGAUUAUCUCCUGAGGUUGCAUUUUUGCGAGAUUACCCCUGAUUUGAUUUCACAAGAGAACGAACGGGUGUUCAGGAUAUUCAUCAGUAACAAAACAGCUGAGCGAGAGAUUGAUAUUAUAACUUGGACCGGCGGCCCCGGAAUCCCGGUUUUCAGAGACUACGUCGUGUUCGUUCCACACCCACCGGAUGGUCGCCCGAGCAAGCAAGGCUUGUUUCUUGCUCUGUACCCAAAUCUCGACUUCAAGACGAAGUAUGCUGAUGCAAUCUUGAAUGGUUUGGAAUUGUUCAAAUUGAGCAACAGCGGCAGUCUUGCCGGGACCAAUCCUGAUCAGGCGGCGGAUCCCAAUUCCCCGAUGCCAAACAGCAAGUCACCGAAAAAGGGGAGAGGUGUAAAAUCUCCGGUACUUUUUCCUAUCGUGGGAGGGGUGGUCGGAGGGUCUGCCUUGGUUUUCAUCAUCGGUUUCUUGAUUUCCCGGCGGCUAAGGAGACGGGUAAAAGAUUUUGACCAGAAAAGUGCUUCAAAGUCAUCCGGGGUCCAACUUUCAACCAGGUCCAGGUCAUCAAAGACAACAAGUGCAUCGAGGUCUUCGUCACUGCCGCUAGAUCUUUGCCGAAGAUUUUCCCUGGAGGAGAUCAUCUUUGCUACGGCCAACUUCGAUGCUAAGUUUGUGAUCGGAACCGGAGGAUUCGGAAACGUGUACAAAGGGUACAUUGACAAUAGUCUAAUCACAGUUGCUAUUAAGCGAUUAAAUCCUUCGUCAAGUCAAGGGGUCCGCGAAUUUCGAACCGAGAUCGAGAUGCUGUCGAAUCUAAGGCAUCUUCAUCUGGUAUCCCUGAUAGGUUACUGUGACGAGAAGGGAGAGAUGAUCUUGGUUUAUGAUUACAUGGCCAAUGGCACCCUUCGCGACCACCUCUACAAAACAGAUAAUCCACCCCUCCCUUGGAAGCAACGGCUUCAGAUUUGCAUCGGCGCAGCCAGAGGGUUGCAUUAUCUCCACACCGGCGCCAAGCACAACAUCAUCCACCGGGACGUCAAGUCAACCAACAUAUUGCUGGACGAGAAAUGGGUGGCUAAGGUUUCGGAUUUCGGUCUGUCCAAGCUAGGCCCCAGCGGUGGAAUCCACAGCCAUGUCAGCACGCAGGUGAGGGGGAGUUUCGGCUACGUAGAUCCCGAGUAUUACAAGAGACAGCAGUUGACGGAGAAGUCGGACGUGUACUCGUUCGGGGUGGUUUUGCUCGAAGUGCUGUGUGGGCGGGGAGCCAUUAUUCGCAACUUGCCCAAGGAGCAGGUGAAUUUGGCGGGGUGGGGCAAGAGGAAUUACGCAAAAGGGAUCAUCCACCAAACUGUAGACCCUCACAUGAAGGGCGAGAUUGCUCCUGAGUGUUUGAGGAGCUUUGCUGAAACGGCGAUCAACUGUUUGAAAGAUCAGGGGAUUGAACGACCCGGAAUGAAUGAUGUAGUCUGGAGCCUCGAAUUCGCGUUGCAGCUUCAGGAGGCGGCUGAAAAUGAGAGGCUAAUUGAUUAGAAUAUAGGUGUAAAAAAAAAAAGUCAAACGACACUUACGGAUCUGACAGAGCAUGUAUAAAAUUAUGGGUAUCGGGCUGUCUGAUAGAGCCCAUGUAUAAAACUAUGGAUAUCGGACUGAGACAGCCCGGCACCCGACAGAAACCCUUUUUUUUUUAAAACAUGUUAGUUUCAGCCCGGCAUUUGACACAUUUUUUUUGAAAAAAGAUGUCAAGUGUCGGGCUACACCUGACAUUCAAUUGAGUGAAUUGCAAUUCACUUUAUUUGUUAAGUUAGUUGAUAAAUGCAAUUCACUUUAAUUAGUUUAGUGGAUUAAUUAGUUUAAUUAAUUGAGUGAAGUAAUUUUAAGAGAUUCGAUUAACUGCAUUUAAUUAAGGUGAUGGUUUUAUUUGUUACUAGGUAUUCUGCCCUGACGCUAUGCGUCAGGUAGGUUGGAUCCGGUAUUUUAUUAUAACGAGUAUGAGUUUGAAAAAUUGGAGGGCGGAAAGAAUUAUUCAAUCGAACUUUAACGUCAAGUAUGUCUUGAAACUCACUGCAACAUCAAACAACAAAGAUCCAGUACAGAGGAGGGGAAAAAAGGAUAGCCCUCCAUCAUAAUAAAAGAACAAAGCCAUAAUUUUGUUCAAGGAAAGAGACCUUGGAUCUGCCCAGAAAGAAGUUUUAUCCAACUCAGGAACUAUAAGCGUCACAUUCAAAUGUCUGGCAAUUGCGACCAUGUCAUGUAUCUGUACCCCAAUAACAUGGAGGAAAAGUAUAGGUUAUCAAAAAUUGCUGUCAUAAGCCAGUUCAAACAUGCAAGCCACAUUAUUAAGAAUCUACUAAUCGCCGCCUGCAUUUGGUUAAGGCCUCCGUUGCAUGAAACCAUUAGAUAACCAUUGUUCUUGUAAACUCCUACAUCAAAAGGUGCAAAUUUCAAAUCUGAUUGUAGGUGGGGGAAAAUAGUAGUCAAAAUACCCAAUACAAUUCCAACAAGGGACAAAUUAAUGAUCCAUGCUUAUUCCAAAUAAAACAAACAACACAUUUAUGAUUAACCGCUGCAAAUAGAGAAUGCAGCAAAAUCCACUGAUGCAGUAAAACAACCUAAGAGGUUUGUUAUACCAAUUACUUCAUUUCAAAACAAAACAAAAGAUCAACAACCACCGCAAACUCUCAAUUCUGCAAGUGCUUGGAGCAACCAAAUCUCUCAGGAACUUGCCGCAUGCUUCUCAACUUUUCAAUAAUCAACCAGCAGUCCAAGUCAGUCGUUUCAUCCAUCGGUGUGUGAAAUUAAACCCCACUUUCCUAAAUUCAAAGACCCUUAGAUUCUACAUUAUAAAGCACCCUGAACACCACAAAUACACCCACCUCAUAUCCACUAUCCUUUCCGCUUACAUUCACCAAAAUAUGAGCUUCUACUUCCCAUCUUUUAAAGCGAUCAACAUCAACCAUCAAAACAGCAAAUUCAUUACAGCGCCCAAAAAUAAAAAUCAAAGAGCAAAAACAGAAUCAAUCAAGUAGUAAUACUCAUUCUUGGGAGGAAGAACUCGAGCAGGGACAUCUUCAGGGGCAGAUUUAACAUCCAAAGCGGAAGCAGAACCAGUAACAGAAUCCUGAGAAAAGCAAGAUGGCCAUCCCUUCAAAAUUCUAGGACCAAAACUUUCACCCAAUGCCGUUAACUAAACCAAGCAAUUCCACAACAUCACAGAUGUAGUAGCCCUUAUCAUCCAUAGCUUCAUUUCGACCGUGAAACCAUGGAAUUUUUAAACUUCUCUACUCUACUAUGUUGAAUAAUAUUUCCACCUUUCAACCCCAUCACCCCACCUAAUCCUAACCCUAACCCUAGCCCCCUUAAACCCCAGUUCUUCCUCCUCCUCCAAACACUCUCCUCACUCUUCUCUUUCUCUAUUCUGCACAUAUCCCCCAUACAUCAAAAUUCCCCGCCUCUCCUUUUCUUCAAAAAAAUCAACAACUUCUCAUUAAAUUCUGCAGAAACUAUUACGUUUAAUCUAUGAAUGAAAAAAAAUCCCUGAUCUUAAUUUACAAUCUAAUAGAAAAUUCAAUAGGAAAACAAGGGAAGGAAAAAACACCGCCCGGAGAAAGCUAAGAAGAAGAAUGAGGAACGGGAAAGACACAGCUGGUAAACAAGGCGAAGAAAAGAACGAGAAGAAACAAGACCGACAAAAGAAUAGGAAAAAGUAGCAGCUCCCAAAACCCUGAAAGGGCGCGUACUGGAUUCAGCUCAACUCACCAGAACAGAACGAAGAACGCUAAGAACAGAACAGAACAGAACAGAACGAAGAAGAGAAUGAGAGGAAAUUGCUGACCGUCAAAAUGUUGCCAUCGAAGAGAGCCACGCGGACAGAAGUGAAUUUCCAGCAAAGCCAUUGCCAUCCAAUCCCAAAAUGCCCCUCAAAGUCACAACAAUCGCAGUAUAACCGGUCCAUUGUCCACUGUUCAUAGGCUAUUCAUGCUUUAUAUAUGUAUAUGUAGUAAGAUUUAUUAAAUAUUCAUUUAUUUGUUAUAAAUGAUUUAAUUAUUUAAUUAUAAUGCAUUAUUUGUUGUUAUUUGUUAUUAUUUGUUGUUAUUUAAUUACACUUUAUUUGUUGUUAUUUGUUAUACUAUUUGUUAUUAUUCGUUGUUAUUUAAUUACACUUUAGUUGUUGUUAUUUGUUACUCCCUCCCUUUUUUUAUAACUGACGUUUAAGGUUUUGCACACCAAUUAAGAAAAGUUUUUCAUUGUUUAAAUCUAUACACUACUUUCCUUUUGUACCCUCAUUAAUUGUCCAAUUCACUCAUGUUUUCUCUCACUAGAGUAUUAAAUGGUGCUGUUUUACUAGACCAAAAGCAAUGCAAACUAACUCCCACCAAUUAUGAAAAGAGAGAUAAAAGGGUAAAAUUGUGAAAAAAUAAUUAAUGCUGCAUGGGGAUAAUAAAACGACAGAUAAAAGUACUUAAGAGCAAAUUUCUUAAACGUCAGUUAUAAAAAAAGGGAGAGAGUAUAUUAUUUGUUAUUAUUUCUUAUAAUUAUAGAAUCGCAAUUAUUUAUUUAUUUGUUAUAAAUUAUAUAUAUUUGAUUCAAUUAAUUAAUUAUUCAAAUAAGCAUAUUAAUGAGGUUCUAAAAUGCUAUCAACACUCGUCUCUAAUAGGUAUAACAUGUCAAGUGAUAAUUGCUUGGUGAUUCAAGUAUAUUAGGGUGGAAAAAUUAUAAAUGAAGGAUGGUCAAUUUUAUAUGAUCCUUCUAUACCGAAACAAAUGUUGUUCCUUACAGAGAUGGUCGGUUAUGAUGACUUGGUAGACAAAAUAUACAAUCUUUUGGGUUUAGAUCGGAAUCUUCUGGGUAGACAAAAUAUACAAUCUUCAUUACAUGUUUGCUAAAUAUCAAAUAUUAUAAUAUGGGAAUUUAGUCUUUUAUUAUUUGAAUGCUUAUCGUUAUUUUUAUAUUUAGCCAUUUCACCGUUGUCACGCUAUGCAUUUUUUCCUCUUUUUUUGGUCCUUUAUUUUAUAUAUUGCACAAUAAAUUUAGUUUUAUAAAAUUAUAGUGAACAUUAAAAAUUACAUAAAAAUUCUAACAAAUUAUUUCUCAACAAUUUGAGAACUACAUCUUAUUACAAAAUGAAUGGUAUAUUUUGUUUGAAAAACAUUUUCGUUGUUUAACAUCCUAUAGGAGUAAUUAGUGAUUUUGCACAAAUCUAUUUUCUUUUUUUCUUAUGUUUCAACUUUGAAAUGUAAAUUAAUUAACUUAAAUUUCAAAGUAUUUAGUACUUCAGGUCGACUCAGCUUUUUAUUAAACUUUUUUUCUUGUUUUGGUUUUUUGAUUUAUUUUGUAUGGGAGAUUUAUGAAAUUAUCUUCACAAUACAAACUACGAAAAAAAUUCAGAACUUAAAUAGAUGUUCUAUUAGUAUGCAUUAUGUUCAAUUGGUAAAAUGCAAAAAUUCAAUAUAAGUACCAACACGAGAAUGAAUACGAAAUCUAAAAUGUUUAGGGUUUAGGGUUUAGGGUUCAAGGUUCAGGGUUUAGGGUUUAGGGUUUUGAUCUUUAGGGUUUAGGGUUUUCGGGUUUAGGCUUUAGGCUUUAGGGAUUAGGGAUUAGGGUUUUUAGGUUUAGGGUUUAGGGUUUAGCGUUUAGUGUUUAGGGUUUUGAUCUUUUGCAUGAUGCAACAUGUCACAAAUUACGAUUGAUAAUUACUAAUCAUAUCACAAUUUCAGCCUUACGAUAUUUUCUUGAGAAUAAAAUGAGAAGCUAUAAAUGAAAGAGAAAAAUUCAAAAUUAAAAGAAUAUGAAUACUAGAUAAUUGUAUUUCAAGUCAAGUGAUUUGAAUUCUAGUGGGAAGUUUUCACUAAGAAUUUUUUGUUACUCGGCACAUUUUGUUUGGUAGACUUAUUAAUUUUUUUUUUAUUUUUCAGAAAAAUUCGGUCAGGUACCGGGCUGACACAAUCCAACACCUGAUAGAUUUUUAAAAAAAAAUUUCCUGUCAGGUGAGAUUCUAUAAUUAUAAGAAAUAAUAACAAAUAAUAUAACAAAUAACAACAAAUAAAGGGUAAUUAAAUAACAACGAAUAAUAACAAAUAACAACAAAUAAAGUGUAAUUAAAUAACAACAAAUAAUGCAUUAUAAUUAAAUAAUUAAAUCAUUUAUAACAAAUAAAUGAAUAUUUAAUAAAUAACAAAUUAAACCUAAUUCAUCACCUUAAUUAAAUGCAUUUAAUCGAAUCUCUUAAAAUUAAUUCACUCAAUUAAUUAAACUAAUUAAUUCACUAAACUAAUUAAAGUGAAUUGCAUUUAUCAACUAGUUUAACAAAUAAAGUGAAUUGCAAUUCACUCAAUUGAAACAGAUGCCGGGCUGACACAGCCCGACACUUGACAUCUUUUUUUUUUUUUAAAUGUGUCAGGUGCUGGGCUGUCUGACAUGUUUUUUUAAAAAAAAAGUUUCUGUCAGGUGCCGGGCUGUCUCAGCCCGGUACCCAUAGUUUUAUACAUGCACUCUGUCAGAUCCGCAAGUGUCUGACUUUUCUUUUUUAUACAUAUAUUCUAAUCAAUUAGCCAAAAUGAGAGUGGUCGACGUCCAUUUGCUUUCCGUAUGCAUGGGUUGGGAGGAGAUGAGCAAGCUACGACUGAGGACGACGAGGAUGUGUUCUCAGACUCGGGAGUUGAGAAAGAUUCUGCCACCAGGAUGAAGAGCCGCCGUAGUAUUACGACCGGGACAUUCACGGCCAGUAGUGACAUGUUAAAGUCUGACAAUGUUUUCUCCGAGAUCAUGAAUCCCGCCGCAAGGUGAGGAUUUUAAUCAAUAGAUUAAACCUUCAAAAUUGUACGUGGGAUAUUCAUGUCUCAGGAGUCGAGCGUGCUAUGUCCUUGUGCUAUUUUUUUUUGGUUUUUUUUUGUCUGUAUUGGGCAACCUAUUUGUAAUGCCAAGAUAGUGUAUUUUUUGAAAUGUAAUAUUAAUUAAGGGAAGUACAUAAAUAUUCGGAGUGUUUUUGAAAAUGUAAAAUCGAUUUAAAAAAGUAAAUAAAUACGAUAGAAGAUCAGUAAAAUUGAUGGGAAAAGUAUUAAAUGCAAGGGAAGGUUAGUGUUUUUGAUAAUUCAUGCCUUAGGAGUCUAGCGUGCUAUGUCCUUGUGCAUUUUUUUUUUGUAUUGUGCAACCAUUAAGAUAUAUUUGUGGUGUUAAAAUAUAUUUUGAAAAUGUAAAAUUAAUUAAGGAAAGUAUGUAAAUAUGAGGGAGUAUUGUUGGGGAUGUAUGAUUAAUUAAGAAGAGUAAAUAAAUACAAGAAAUGAUUGGUAAGAUUAGAUGAGAAAAAUAUUAAAUGCAAUGGAAAGUAAUAACUGUUAGUAUGUGUAUAUAUGAUAGGUUAGGUGAAUUUUAAAUGUCUUAAUAAAAUAAAAGUACCUAACGGAUAUGGGUACUUAUUAAAAAAAAUGUUAUGAAAUAACAAAAAAAAUGUGGAUGUCCUUUUGUAUUCCCAAGGGGAUUAAUUCAUGAUUUUAUGGCAACAUUAUGUAUAGAAAUUACAAUCCAUAAAUCUAUUUAUGUAGUGAAAAAACUGUUUCAUAAGUUUCUUCAUAUUAUUGUAGUAGUGGAUGUUUAAUAGGACUAAUGCACCUUUGAUCUUGUAGUACCUAUAUAGAGGUACAUUGACACCCUUUGGGAGCACUUUUGUAUUUUGUUGGAAUACAAGAAUACCACUCUCCAUUUCUCUACUUCUUUCUCCAAUAUUUCACUUGAUAUUAUAGUAGUUUAUUUUAUUAGUUUUAUAACACGUUAUCAGCACGAGUAUCUACUUUGGAGCAAAAGGUGAAAACGGAGGCGCUACUUUGAACAAAAGUGAAACACAAGAUUUUGCCGAAAUUCUGCUUGUAUUUCUUCAAGUGACUUUUGAGGUAAAUUUCUAACUCAAAAACUUAUUUUAAUUUCUUAUGGCUAAUUUUACAAAACAAGAGUUCGUACCUCUUGAUAUUUCUGGAAAAAAUUAUUUAUUAUGGGUAUUAGAUGUUGAAAUUCAUCUUGAUGUAAUGGGUCUUGGUAACAUUAUUGUUGAAAAACAUGAAUUCUCAAACCAAAACCGUGCCAAAGCUAUGAUUUUCCUUCGUCAUCAUUUAGAUGAAGGAUUAAAAAUAGAGUAUCUUACUGUCAAAGAUUCUCUUGUCCUUUGGCAAGAUUUGAAAGAAAGAUUCGACCACCUGAAGUUGGUCGUUCUUCCAAAAGCCCGAUUUGAUUGACUUCACUUACAGCUGCAAGAUUUUAAAUCUGUCAAUGAAUAUAAUUCAGUCAUGUUCAGAAUCACUUCUCAAUUAUCAUUAUGUGGCAAAAAAGUUACUGAUGAAGAUAUGUUAGAGAAAACAUUUUUUACUUUUCAUGUCCUAACAUGCUCCUGCAACAGCAAUAUCGAGAGAAGGGAUUUAAAAAAUAUUCUGAACUUAUCGUAUGUCUUCUCUUGGCUGAACAAAACAAUGAAUUAUUGCUGAAAAAUCAUAAGUCCCGACCAACUGGUACAAGUCCAUUCCCUGAAGCGAAUGCGACUCAAUUUCAAAAUUCUGGUCGAGGUCGUGGACGUGGCCGUGGAAGAGGCUGUGGAAGAGGCCGUGAUCGUAUUAAAUUUGUGCCUCGUGAAAAUUUUAACCGUGGCAAACAACAAAAUGUUUCCCAAAAAAGGAAAAAUAACUACGAUCAGAAAAAUGGAGGAAAGAAAGUUUAUAAAGAAAAAUGCUAUUGGUGUGGUAUGGAAGGUCAUUGGUCUCGUACCUGUCGUACGGCCGAACAUCUUGUCGAUCUCUAUCAAGCAUCAUUGAACAAGAAAGAGAAAGGCAUUGAGACAAAUUUCAUUAAUCAAAAGAAUAAGAGUAAAUAACAAAAAAGCCCCCUGUGAUUAAGCAAUCAUACAUAAAAGCCCCAUGUAGUUUCAUAUCAUACCAGUCGAUACCCCGUGGUCUGAAUUAACCUGAAAAGUGGACGGAAAUCGUCAAAUAUUCGGCGUGUGUCUUAAACGAACUGCAAAGGCGCGUGCAUAUGCGAAAAAUAGAUUUCCACCACCAACUUUCAUCUGAUAUGCCUACUUUACCCUUCACUCUUUAAUAAUAAGAGGCCAGCUUCCAAGUCUUCCGAGUCUUCAUGUUCGGCCAAAAUUGAAAAUUGAAGGCAGCAUUCGAAAUCUGUCCAGGCAGUUCAAUCAAGCAGAGCUUGCAGGCUAGCAAAGGAAUUGCAGGAAACAAAGCCUUAAGGUAAAAAUGUGAACUGUAUUUGUAUAUAUUGGGUCUGCUAAUUCUGAAGGAAAAGUGGAGAAAGUACCCCAAGAUGUCUUCCUCAAGCUCUCGACCAACAAGUGGGGGAAAUGGAGGCAGAGGUCUUCGAUACUAGUACAAGGUAUGUAAUUGUCGAAGGAAGGCAAAGCUAAAGAUUGUUGAGUCGGAAAAGCCAUCGAAAGGAUUGUUAUAUUUUGUGUGUGAAAAAGAUGAAUGUUGGUUCUUUUCAUGGUGUAACCCAAUUUACAGAGACGAGCCAAAUCGAGAUGCACCUGUUCCCGUAGUGAGCCAACCUGUUGAAGAAAAUGCGUAUUUGGGUGGCGUGCUCUCGAAACUGGAAAAUUUGGACAAUGAAAUGAAGAAUUUGAAAUUGCUAGUUGGAGGUUGUGUUAUGGUAUCUAUCUUUUCUAUUUUACUGUUGUUGAUGUCUACCAGAUAAGAUAAUGGUAGGUUGUUGUUGAUGAUGUAGAUCUUCAUCUAUCAAAUUGCUAGUUGGUAGGCUGCUGGUGAUGUAUGGAGUUUUGUUGCAAUAAAAUUGAACAAAAUUGGUAAUCGACAUUUUGUAGUUUUGUUUUGGUAAUCUGCAUUUUGAAAACACCAAAAAAUGAACGAAAUAAACUAGUUGGAGUUUUGUUUGCACAUUAGUAGUCUUAACUCAACUAGCUGCAUUUCAGCAGGUAGUCUUAGCUCAACUAGUUAUGGAGUUUUGUUUGGUGUCUAUCCCAACCGAAUAAUGGUCAGAUUUGUUCUGGUGUUUCCACUACGGGUAAGAAAUAUACCUGCUAAAAAUUGGACAACAACCGAUACAGAAAACAAACAAAAGAAGAUUGGACAGCAAGUGAUAUAGAAGACAAACAAAAGAAGACAAAAUUGAAUCUAGUUGCCAGUUGCCAGUUGCCAUUCUACAUAACAUUCAUCUCAACUUGCCAAGAACAUAGAUUCAGAACUAUUUCCAGAACAAAGAGUGUAACUACAAAAUCUGUUUCCAGAUUAUUCAGUAACUACAAAAUUUGGUUGCCAUUUCAGGGAACCAAAAUCUGGUACCCAAGAACUUCAUUCAGUCACCACAAAAAUAGUAAAUACAUAAGCUAAGUGUAUGCAGAACAUAGAUUCCAUCACUGUUUCCAGAAUCAUUCAGUGACUACAAAAUCAGCUUGCUAUUUCACACAACCAAAAUCUGGUACUCAAGAACUUCAUGCAGUCACCACAAAGAGUGUAACUACAAAAUCUGUUUCCAGAUUAUUCAGUAACUACAAAAUUUGGUUGCCAUUUCAGGGAACCAAAAUCUGGCACUGUUGAACUUCAUUCAGUCACCACAAAAAUAGUAAAUACAUAAGCCAAAUGUAUGCAGAACAUAGAUUCCAUCACUGUUUCCAGAAUCAUUCAGUAACUACAAAAUCUGGUUGCCAUUUCACACAACCAAAAUCUGGUACCCAAGAACUUCAUCCAGUCACCACAAAAAUAGUAAAUACAUAAGCUAACUGUAUGCAGAUCAGUAGACAUUACAUUUUCAUCGACAACCAAUCAUUGUACAUUCCAGAUAGUUGCAGAUAUCAUUGCAACUGCAUGUAAUAUUCCAAAAUGAAGGUCUAACUACAGCUAGACAACUAUUAGGCAGGUAAUUAAGGUUGGAUAGCUUUUGAUCUCUUUGGCCUUAACUUGCGCAAGACAUCAGUAAUAGUUGGAGCUGUGGCUGUGGUUGCUGUUGCAGUGGUGGCAUCAGCACUGUUACUCCCACUCAUAUUCAUACCAUGCACAGGCUGCAAUUACAUAUAUAAAGAGAACUUAGAUGUAUAUCAGAACUCCAUUUGUUUUUAUGAAACUCAUUAAAUCAAUGUAAAAGCUUGGUUGAGUGUACACCUUCCUAGCCUGUUUGCUAGUCAUUGUGGUAUUUUGUGCAGUAGGAGCUCCUUUACUAGUUGACUGUGGUUGAGUGGACGACUCAGCAAUUGGUUCAGCUGCGCUUGCUUCAGGUGCCUAUAAGAAUGAUAUUUAACAUUAUUAAUACAUACAGAUGCUAUACAAAUGACAUUUAAGUGUACAAGGAAAAUUACCUUAUAAAAUUUGGAGUUAGGGUGAAUGGGAUUCUUGCACGUCCGUGAGUUAUGCCUUGGCUGAAAACAUCUCUUGCAAUGUACCACAAGCCCCUUUCUAGUUGAUACUUGACCCUUCUUAGGCUCAUCUUGUGCUCUCCGGCGUAGUUUCUUUGGUCUACCAGGCAUUCUCCUAACCGCAGGGGGGUUUAUGGACUCUUCUUCAGCUAUUAUCCAGUAAAUAUCACUUGGAACAGGUGUGAUAGUAUAUGCAUAUGUUUUCAGAUAUUCUGCUCUAGUGUAGCAAGCAUGCACAUAAUUUUUAAUAGGUAAUCUACACACUCCUAUCGCCGCACAUGCAUGGGCACAAGGAUAACCUGUUAAUUGAAAAUAUCCACAGGUACAUGUCCACUCACGCAAGUCUACUACCACACAUUUUCUCACACCACAGUCGACCUCAUACUUGUGACCAUCGUCCCAGGUCGCAACAAAUGUCCUACUCAACUUCUGAUUCUUGUCGAUCUUUUCUGCUAUAUUAGGACAGAUCUCUCCUUGAAACUUUUGCAUUCCAGAUCUCUUUGUUUGAAUUCUCUGCAUCAAUCUCCUCCUUAUCCAUUCAAGCAUCCCAAUGAUAGGUAACUCUCUUGUUUCUAAUAUAUAGUUGUUGAAUGACUCAUUUAGGUUGUUUACCAGAAUGUCACAUUUACUAUAACCUGUAAAAUGUGAUCUACUCCAAAGGGCUGGUGGAAUUUUGCUCAACCAUUCAGCAGCUUCUUUGUUUGUCUUUUCUAGUUCAAUCAUUGCCAUUUUCCAUUCCCUUUCAUUGCCAGCGCUUGCGGCAGCCCAAAACAUGUCUUUCAUUUCCUUUCCUUUGAACUUUUGGUUAAAAUUCUGGUACAUGUGCCUGAAGCAAAAUCUAUGCUCUGAAUUUGGAAACAGUUCAUUCACAGCAUGCACAAGCCCUUUCUGUCUAUCUGAGAUAAAGGUCCAAGGAAUGUUAUCUCUUCCCAUGCCCAAAUCAGCCAUUAGCAACUCCAAAAACCAUUUCUAGGAGUCAUACCGCUCUACCUCUACCACUGCAAAUGCUAUUGGAACCAUGUUGUCAUUGCCAUCUCUGCCAAGUGCGGAUAAUAAUUGUCCACCAAAUGCUGUCUUAAGGAAACAACCAUCUAGACCAAUUAUUGGUCUACAACCAUCAAGAAAACCCUUCUUACAGGCAUAUAAGCAAUAAUAUAACCUUUGAAAUGUACCCCUUGAACCAUCAGGAGGCUUGUCAAUCUGCAUUUUUACAGUACUUCCAGCAUUUGUGUCUCGGACUGUGGCUGUAUAACUCCAGAGUUUUUGAUACUGCUCCAUGUCCGUGCCUAGCAUCAUAUCCUUUGCCUUACGUUUAGCUCUACCAACCUUAGCAAUUAACACAUUAAUCAUUAAAUCUCUUCUGAUGUCAUUCUUCAACCCCAUCAAAUCAACUUUUGGAUUAUCCCUGAUCUUCUCUUGAUAUUUGUUGCUCAGAUAUGAGGCUAUUGCAUGCUUAUUUUGAUAUUCUCGAGCACAUACAUGCUCAUCCUUCAGUGACUUUAUUUGGAAGAUCGAUUCAUUUUGAAUUGGUGUUGCCCGAAUCCUCCAACUACAACCUUUUGCACAGAUGGCAAUAAUUUUUUUGGAGUAGUUUUUCACCCAAGUAACUUCAUAACCCUCUCUUACUAGCCAUUCACACAACACAGAUCUAAACACUCUAAAAUUAGUAAACUUCUGCCCCACUUUCAACUCAAAGUGUGGCUUCCCAAACUCAACUUCAGGAUUGAAGUCAAGGCAGUAAUCUUCUUCUCCACUACCAGAUCUAAAUUUGUCCAGCAAAUCUUCAUUUGGAACCACAGGUUCUUGCCAAUCCUCUUCAGUCACCUCAGUAUUCCCUACCCUUUCAUCUUCUUCUCUCAAAUCUGAUUCUCUAAAUGUUGCAGAAGAUUUUUUGAUGUUUGCAGCUUCAUCUUCUAAUGGCCCUUGAGAUGAUACAAGUCCUUUUUCAAUGCUUACAUCUUCAGCAUCUGAUGGCCUUUGAGAUGAAACAGGGGGUCAAUUUGCCGAAUCACAUCUGGCCCUCUAGAUUGUGAAGUUUUGCUGGCCCUUUUCUUUCUCACAGAACCCCUUUUAGGAGAACUUUUUUCAUCUGUCUUUCCACCAAAUGAGAAUAUAUGCACUGGCAAUUUUUUUAUGUCUCCAUCUGCCCUUGCCCCACCUUUUUUGUUAUAGUUGCUGGGUCCAGCAGUAUCUUUCUUGGGGCUAAAGAUGUCUUCAUCUUCUAUUGUUUCCAACCCAUCUUUUAACCAUUCUGGCUCUUCAUCAUCUUCACAUGCACCUGUCCCCGUAGUGUUAGUGACCCCACUAUUUUCAUGUCCAUAGGUUGUAUCAGGGCCUUCAUUUUUUAUUCCAUUACUGACCCCACCAUCUUCUGGCUCCUUUUCAAAUGGCUCAUCCCCACUACAAGCAUAAAUUAGCCUUUCCAUUGGCAAGUUCCAGUAGCACUGCUUCAUUAAAUUAAUAUCAUUAUUGUCCCUAAUUGGGUGUAGAGCACCUUCUAAAUCAACAUCUGGGACACAAAACCAAAACGUUACUUUAUUUGCUCUUUCAUCUACUUUUUUAAACAUUCUGCACAGGCUCACUAUCGACAACUGAUCUUCAAUUCUGUCUUUGAAAAUAGCCAUGUGGGUUCCUGUGUAGUGGAGCCUUGGUUUUUCUCUAAAUCUCCCACCAAAAUGCAUGUGUAUCUCAACUUUGUCCUUGGAUUUCUCCUCUGUGAUACCAUGACAAGCAAUAAAGUUCUCAGAGUCUUUCACAAGUAUACAAAAAACUAACAUAAUACAAUCAGAACAAACAAUUGGGGACCACAUUGGACCACAACAUGUCUCGAUAUAAGCCAUAUUAAGAUAAUGACAGAUUACAGAAACUGGCAUGCUUGACUAAUCAUGGCAUUUAACAGUAGUAAUUGAUCAAUAGAAGUAAUACUGCACUUUGAUAGUAUAACUUCAAGCCAAAAAGACGGACUGUCAGACUCAACAAUUGAGUCUGACCAAAAACAAGGGAUAACCAGAUUAGGACCUGAAACACGUAGCCUUAUCAUCCCAAACAACUGAGGCAUUGGAACCAAAGCUGCUAAACGCGUUUUUGGAGGGACCUCUUCUAUAAAGCUGUCUCUUUUUAAGCUUUCAAAAAUUAUCAAAACUUUACCAAUUUGAAAGGAACGCUUAAACUAUCUAUCUAUGCAACUAGGUUUGCUGGGCAUACGUCAAAAACCUUUAUCUUCAUUAACAACAUUCGUAAAUACAUCAAAAAAGCUAUCUUUGUUAAAUAAUGCCUCCCAAUUUAAUCUGAAAUCAGUAAAUAACAAUUUUUCUUGUACAACAUACCCCAAAACCCGAAUCGAAAUAGAUGAGAGAUGAUAUACUAACCCAUUUUUCUUCGAUUUUUUACCGCAAAUCUUCACUUCCUCGUAUUCUCCAUCGAUCUUGAUAUUUGAUUGAAAUAACAAUCGAAAUUUUUGCUGAAAAUUGGCUACAAAAGGGGCUGCUCUAUCUCUCUCUAGGGUUUCCUAUUUCUUUCUCUCUCUCUUCGUUGGUUUCGAUAGAACGAAAGUGCAAAAUUACUUCUGCAAUUUUCGCUUAUAUCAAAAGGGUAUUUUCGUCUAUUCACUCAGUUUCGUCUGUUUUGCCGAUUUCCGUCCACUUUUCAAGUUAAUUCAAAUCACGGGGUAUCGACUGGUAUGAUAUGAAAUCACAGGGGGCUUUUAUGUAUGAUUGCUUAACCACAAGGGGCUUUUUUGUUGUUUACCCAAAGAAUAAUUAUAAUGAUGCUGAUGAUGCUGAUAUGACACACCUCGAUGUAGCUGAUUUUUUUGAGCAUCCUGAAAAUGUCAACAAAUAUCUCAUGAUUAUUUAGAUAUUUUUAUGAUGUUUUAUAUCUUUUAUGUAAUUUUUUUUCAUUGAAUAUUUAUUUUUGUUUGAAAUUUUCUUCCUGAAUAAGAAAUUGAUGUCAAAUAUUUGGGAUUAAAUAAUGGUGAUGAUGAUAUUUGUCUCAUUGAUAGUGCUACUACGCACACCAUAUUGAAAAAUAAAAAAUAUUUUUCUUGUUUGAAAAUGGGAGAAACAAAUGUUAAUACCAUUAGUGGUAGUGCAAAAUUGAUUGAAGACUCCGGAAGAGCCACUUUAUUUUUCUCUUAAGGGACUAAAAUUAUUGUAAAUAAUGCACUAUUCUCUCCCAAGUCUCGGAAAAACUUAUUAAGCUUUAAAGAUAUUUGCGAAAAUGGAUAUCAUAUCGAGACAAUGAUUGAGACAAAUGGUGAAUUUUUAUUAAUCACAAAUAUCAUUUCUGGAAAAAAAUACGUAGUAGAAAAAUUAUCUUCUUUUUCUUCUGGCUUAUAUUAUGCACAAAUUAAUGCAAUUGAAAUUCAUCACCUAGUAGACCAGAAGUCUACUCAUCCUAAUGAUUUUAUAAUUUGGCAUGAUCGUCUCGGACAUCCUGGAUCUAUAAUGAUGAGACGAAUAAUCGAGAAUUCACAUGGCCACUCAUUGAAAAAUCAAAAGAUAUUAAAAGCAAAUGAAUUCUCCUGUGUUGCUUGCUCUCAAGGAAAAUUAAUUAUUAGACCAUCACAAGUUAAAGUUGAGAUUGAAUCCCCUACAUUUCUAGAACGAAUUCAUGGUGAUAUAUGUAGACCUGUAGAUCCACCAUGUGGACUAUUUCGAUAUUUUAUUGUGCUAAUUGAUGUAUCAACUAGAUGGUCACAUGUAUAUUUAUUAUCUACUCGCAAUCUGGCGUUUGCGAGAUUGCUUGUUGACAGGGUGUCGAAACCUGUACAAUAAUAAAAUUAAACCUAAUUGCCAGUUAAAAUGACCAAACUCAAUUCCAAGUACUAGAGCAGGGACUUUAGGUGUGCAAUGGAUUACUUGAUUCACCCUGUUCCCGAAGAGUUUGCUUGGUCCGAUAUACCCGAAUGGAAUGGUUAUUUCUUUUCACAAAUAAUUAUGAAUUCGUAGACAUGGCAAGUAGGGUCGUAUCCACUGGGAUUGGGUAUACUUGUUUCUUAAGAAAUUCAAAACAACACAGGGGGUGAUUUUGUAGGAAUGAUAACAAUCAAAUAAAUUCAAAUAAGAAAAUAAAAAUGAAAAUAAAUAACUGACUAGAAAUUAAACAAUAAUUCACUGAACUCAGAGUAACAAUAAUUAAAGGCCCAAAUCAAUUAAAACAAGGAAGCACUUAAAAAUAAAAUAAAGUAGGCAACUAAAAGUCAAAUGGCAAUUCACCAAAAUUAAGAUAAUAUUAAUUAAAAGUCUAGCCAAGAAAUGACUUCAGCAAUGGUUCACCUAAUUGAUCAUCGAAGCAAAGGCAAUCCCAAUUGUUUAUCAAUAAAUAGGUUAUAACUACCAAACAAGCGAUAGCAGUCAACUCCUCCUUACUGUGUCGAUGAUUAAGGUACGCCCGUUAAUCACUGCUCUAAUUAAGGAAUAAUUCUAGGUACGUCCGUAAGAUUUAAUUCCCCAAUUGCCUUACAUAUUAGAGGAGCCCUAUUCUAACCAAAUAACGGACUACCAGGGUUAUUUUAGAUUAGCCGUCGUAUCCCCCUGACACGAAUCUAAUCGUGCCAGUUGUCACUAUUUCAGGACAAUUACGGAUUUAAUGCUUUAAUUGACAGUAGGUUACCAAAUCAAUUAAUUAUCCGGAUCCAAAAUAAUCAAUUAAUUAAAUAAUCAUAAGCAUAGCAAACAAGGAAUAAGUGGAUAUCAAUAAAUAAAAGGGAAAGAUUAAAUUAAAACGAUCUUACAAUUUUUAGGCUACCCAAAACAUCCGUCGUCUCUUGACUAGAAUGAGAAAAUUAGUUCAUAUUUGAUGAACUAAGUCCGCGGGAAAUUUCAGCAAAAGUCACGGCCAUUGUCUGCAUUUCAGGAAGCCACAAUUCGUCAAACAAUUGAAAGGCGAAUGAAAGUUACAGGUAACAAUUGAGUCUCUUAAUUGUUUCUAGCAUCCGUAGAGCAAAGCUACUCAAAAGGUACAAGGAGAAAAAGUCAAAGUAGAUAGCCUCCAAUUCUCCUGACAUGCGUGAGAACAAACAAAAAGGAAUUCUAAAGGAAGAAGCUAAUGAAAUGCUAAGCUAGUCCUCAUUGUCUUUCUCCCAGCCGUGGAGAAUGCCUACAAAAGGCUCAGAGGAAAAAGUCAAAAAGUGCGGCUCUCCAGCCCCUGCUCUCUUCCUUCUCUUUUUUUUCUCCUAAUUCCCCGCAGCACCUCAGCAAAAUGAAGCCCUUCCGGCCGUCAUUCCCUUGCGGAAUUUACCAAAAUAGACGUAACAUCUUCUUUUCCAAAAAUAUCCCUGGGUCAAUCUCUAUCAUCGGGACUCUUUUUCUGCCAAAUGUGUACCUGUCAUCAUAUUUUCGUUCUACUCCCUGAAAUAAGUGCAAAUUACGAAAAGUAAAUAGAAUCUACUAAUUAAUCCACAUCAGGUCAGGUAAUAGGGAAAAUUAAUAAUAAAAUAAAUAGAUAAAUUGCAACCUAUCAAUUCCCCCCACACCUAAACCAUGCUUGCCCUCAAGCAUAAGAAAAGUGUACAGACACCAAAAUUUGAUAAUGGUCAUCACUCUAUUCUACCAACUUGCCAAGAUAUCAAGAAAAACCAUAUAUCGAGUACUAGUGAUCAAAAUCUGAGGAGCAUCCCCCCAGUUAGCCUCUAAACUGCAAAUUUCUUCAAUUUCCAAAUUAGCUAAUCUAAGAAGAAAGAAUGACGUAUAACACUUAUCAGCAAACAAUUCAAAUAUUAACCAAAGCCUCCAUAUUCAGUCCAUAAAUGGGCAAGCUGACCUCUAACAUAUUACACAACCUGCACUUUUCUGUUUUUUUUUUCACUUUUUUCAUUUCCAAUAAUAAUAACAAUACACAAAAGACUUAGUCUCUAGCCAUUGGAGCCUUUUGACGCGAACUCCAAUAUUUUUAAAUGAAGGAGCCCGGUUACUCAGCUCUCACCGCUAUACGACCACGUACUCAUAAAAAGUACCACCUUUUGACGCGAGAAUCAACACUUUUAGGUGCAGAUUCCCGAUUACUCAGUAGCAACUAUUAGCGGAGUACAGUCAAACUUAUUCACAGCCAAAUAAUGCAAAAACGCAAGAUAACAACACUAAUAACCACGCAUAGGAGCAGCUCACCUCAUUAUUGCCAAACAUGGAGAACUGGAGUCAAUAUUGGACCAGUUCACAUUAAAAUGCCAACAGCCAUUCCCUAUGCCUAGAAAAGUUAACAAAGAAAUCAAAAGAGUCAAACAGUCCGAUAUUCACCAAGGAGAUAUCUUGGACCCAACCACAUUAAUCCGAUACAUUUUUAUUUUAAAAACUUGGCAAAAAUAGAAUUAGAGGCAAUGAACCAACAUCCAUUUUUUUUAAAAAAAAAUUUUUCACAUGAGGGAUAAGCACCAAGAAAAGAAAGUAAGCAAAUGAGCAACUAGAAAUAAAACUAAAAACUACUAAUAACUAGAAAAUACUAGCACCCCAUUAGACCUCUCCCACACCUAUAGGACACAUUGUCCUCAAUGGGUCAAAUAAACAGCACAAGUAAGAGAGAAAGCAACCAAACUUCCCUGAAACCGGGUCAAAGAGGUGGGCGAGGUGGAAAUGGAGCAGCGAAACCCGUGUGAAAUAAAAACUGCACCAAAUUCUAUGCCAUGCCUGCGACAUUGGCGUCAACGUUGACCAUUCGAGCCUCCAAAGCCCGAACCUGCUCCCGGAGUUGCUGCUAUUCAGUCGUCCCAUGUGGUGGAGAUGACGCAGAAGAUGAAGGCCCAGCUGUGUCCUCGACUGACUCAUGAAAUGAAGAGGACCCUGCUCGGGUCGAAGGGUGCACCCCUGGAGCUCGAACUGGUCCCGGAGAGGUAAACUGGUAAGAACCAUCGGGUAGGCGCUCGACGACUUCCAUUUUCUCUAAGUAGUCCACGCCCAGGAGCUCCAUCUCGAAUGCCAAAUGUAGGUCGUGGUUCUCCAGGUUAAGAACUCCCAACUGUGUUGCCAAGUGUGUGAUAUAGGACCCAAGGAUCAGGGGUUUGUUCUUUUUGGCUAAGACGGUCUUGAACUGUGCCGCAAACCAACAACCCAAGUUGACUUUGUUGUUAUUCUUCAUAUUCCAGAUAAAGAAAAACUCGGGUCGAGAGAGAAUACCGGAGCUGUCCUUGCGACCGGAGUAGCUGUAGUCUAAGAAUCGCUGAACGUAUCGGGCGCUAGGGUCCUUAAGAAAGGAGCUCCUAGACCUAGAAGGGUCGUAGCGGUGCCGAUCGGUAGACAUGUCUUCCCACAUAGUGCGGUAGCGGGAGAGAAAAGGCUCUAUGUAAUCACAGGCACUUUCACCAUACUCUCUAGUCUCAGCAUACUCCCGAGUAAUAAAUCCAAAUGCCAUAUUAAAUUGGGUAAUCGAAAAAUUAAAUUUCCGACCCAUCAGACGGAAGCGGAUGACAUUGGGUGUCACAAGGGUGUACCUCGUGGGCAACUCAAACUCAAAGGUAGAAUAAAACUCCCGAGUGAGCUCGACAAAGGCGGGGCAGAAGAUAUAGAGAUACGGGCGCCACCCGAUGGCUGUAAACAUCUGCUCGACUUCCUCUCGUAUGCCUAGACCCAUCAUAACUAGUUUACUACAAGAUUUACAAGGUAUGAUACGCCGCUCACAGACCUUAGCAUAUCUCUGCUGAUCGGCGGGUCUAGUGAAGGUUAGGUGCCCUCCAAAGUGAGUUGGGGUAUCUACCUGGGCACCCCUGCCCCUACUCAAGCGGGUUCGGACAUUAGAAGAGAAGGGUAGAUUGGUAGGUGUAUUCACAGGAAUAGAUGCAUGUGGAGGGGUUGAGAACGAGGGGCCCUAGACCUAGAGGAUGAUUUAGGUCUCACCAUGUCUCCCAACAGUCAGCUCAAAGUAACAGAAGAUCCAACAGGUAUAGAAACUAGCAAAAGCAACUAGCAAAAGAAGCUCAACAAAAACAAAGCAAAAAUCUCCCAGUAGUAACCCAAUCAAUAACAAACAAAAGAGUUCCAGCAAGUAAAAAUGCCCAAUGUCCCAUAGAAGACGAACAAACUGUUAUGAGUUCAAUGACUAUAGCAAUGAAAGUAACCCCAGCAAGUAUGCCAGUCCACAGAAGUCAAUAUGUAGCCCGAUAUAGUAAGGCCUUCCCAAUCAGCAAUUCAACAAGUAAUUAAACCGAAUAUUACCAAUCUCAACAAGUACUUCACGCGGCCAGUCUCUCUAAUUCAACAAGCAAUUUCAGAAAUAACUCAACCAAAAUCCCAAAAGAAGCCUCAGCGAGUCUUCCAGCAAUUCAAGCAGAAUAGUGCCCAACAAUUCACUACGAGUCAACCAAUUUUCACAAGCAAAAUGAGGUUCAAAAUUUCCUCCAAAGUUAGCAAACAACCACUGCAAUUCAGCUCACCCAAAGUCCCAACAAAUGGCUCCAGUUGGCCAAUUAAUGCCUUAACUCAGAAUUAGCAAUUUCAACAAUGAUAGCUUAGAUAUUUGACAAUAAUAACUUAGCCAACCAAAAUCGUAGCAAAAAUUCCACAAAAUCAACAAUUCAGGCAAUAACAAUUCAGACUCGGACAGUGACAAAGGAAUUCCAAACCUUCAGCUUCCUAUUAACCAGCCAAUAAGAGAGGAAGGAUCAAAUGUAGUCCAAAUACCCAAACAAGGCAAUGACUGGACUCAACAGGCAGCGCACAACCAAUACAGCUCAACAGACCUAAGCCAAUAGAACUCAAACCCACCCAAAAGUGCGACUAAAAUAUGCAAGAAAAUGGCCAACCAGUAAUCAACAAAGUCAGGGCAAAUAACACAAUCAGUACCACUGGUUGACCACACAAUUGAAGAAAUAACUCCCACGGCCACCAAUACCAAUUGUGGAGGGGCUCAAACAGCACCAAACAAUAUUAGAAAUCGGGGGAUAAAUUCCAAAUACCUCCACCAGGACCACGUCGGGCGGCGGACAGAGCAGCGAGCAGAGGUCAGCUUGCUUCUGUGGCUUCGGGAGGCAGCGGCGGCGUGGGGCUGGUCGGCUUGCUGGAGGCACGAGGAGAGAGAAACGAUGGACAGCAGCCCGCAACCCCCAGUUGGAGAGUGGCGGCGACGGUCGUCCGACUGCAAGCGACGUGUGCCCGGUCACUCGCGGCUGGGGAAACGAGGCGCGCUGUUGCAGCUCGCGGCGAAGAUGGUGGCGGCGCGAGGUAGAAGAGCGGCGUGCGCAGGUGGGGGGAAGGAAAGAAAAGGCGAAUAGGGGAGCGGCGGCGCUGUAAAGUGGGUCGCUGCUAAGAGAGGGAUAGCUCGCGCGAGGGAGGUGCGUAGGGCAGCGGCAGCGUGCGGGGCUGAACAGCGGCGGCGCGCAGCGGGCGGCUCACGGGUGUCGGCGUGCGCAGGGCGAAACAGAAGAGAAGAAAGAAAGAAAAGAGAAAGAAAGAAGAAGAAGGAAAGAAAAAGAAAGAAAAGAAGGAAAAAAGAAAAAAGAAAAAAGAAAAAAAAAAUUUUAGGCUCCAUAUGCGCUACGAUGAGAAAUAUUUUCUCUUUUUUUUUGUUUUAUUUUUUUUAUGAAAAUUAAUAAAAAUUUUUUUUGAAUCCUUACCUUUCCCGCGAACGUGACGCUGGCACGUCAAAAGGCAAGAAUCCCUUUUGACGAUUCUGAUCGUGAGUUUUCUGUUCAUCACGACGCAGGCACGCCGAGUCAGACAGACACCUACAACUUAUCAAAAACGAAAAUUUCAAACCCGAAACCAAUCAAACUCAAGGAAAACAAAGUGAAACUAUCACACAAAGCCAAACAAACGAUUAAAAGAGAUUGGGUUGCCUCCCAAUGAACGCAUUUCUUUAAUGUCUUUGGUUAGACAUGGUAAAGUGUCACUAAUUAGGACACGGUGGUGUGUCUAGACUUACUGUCUCAACCUCUCCACUUAAGAAACCUUCGUAAUAAUACUUGAGGCGGUGUCCGUUCACCACAAACUUGUUGUCUGUCUUAGCACUCCGGAUUUCAACUACACCAUAUGGAAACACGUGAGUGACAAUAAAAGGUCAAAUCCAACGGAAACGUAACUUACCUGGGAAUAGCUUGAGCCUGGAUUGGUAUAGGAGGACCUUCUGACCAACUUCAAAGGUUUUUCUAGAAAUUUGUUGAUCAUGAAAUGUCCGGUUUCUCUCCUUAUAAAUCAGUGCAUUUUCGUAGGUUUCGUUCUGAAUCUCCUCCAAUUCUUGCAAAUCCAACUUCCGUUGGGCACCGGCCUCCUCUAAACUCAUGUUGCAUUACUUUAUCGCAUAAAAAGCUCUGUACUCGAACUCCACUGGAAGGUGACACGGCUUCCCAAAUACCAACCUGUACGGUGACAUCCCUAUAGGAGUCUUGUACGCAAUCCGAUAGGCCCAGAGUGUGUCAUCCAACCGUUGACUCCAAUAUUUCCUAUCGGGGCGCACCAUUUUCUCCAAAAUGGACUUAAUCUCCCGGUUCGAUACCUCCGCUUGACCAUUGGUCUGAGGGUGAUAUGACGUUGAGACCCUGUGGAGUACACCAUACUUGCGAAACAACGCAGCUAUGGUUCUGUUGCAGAAGUGCGUUCCCCUAUCACUGACAAUAGCUCUUGGCAUUUCAAAUCGCACAAAAAUAUUAGACCUGAAAAAAUCUGCAACUACUUUUGAGUCAUUAGUCUGAGUGGCCUUAGCCUCCACCCAUUUAGACACAUAAUCAACUGCCAGCAAAAUAUAUAGAAAACCAAAUAAAGUAGGAAAAGGCCCCAUGAAAUCUAUACCCCAAACAUCAAAAAUUUCAAUAAAAAUCAACGAGACCUGGAGCAUAUGAUCUCCACGGGCUAUAUUACUUACCCUUUGACAACGAUCACUUGACUUACAGAACACAUAAGCAUCCUUAAAUAAUGAAGGCCAAUAAAAUCCACUCUCUAAAAUCUUAUGAGCAGUUCUCUUGAGUCCAAAAUGACAUCCACAGGCAAAAGUAUGACAAAAAGCUAAAAUCGAUUGAAAUUCCACUUCACUUACAGAUCUCCUCAUCACUUGACCUGCACAUCUCUUCCAUAAGUACGGGUCAUCCCAGAUGAAAUAUUUGGCAUCACUCUUCAAUUUAUCCCUCUUCGAUUUCGGCCAACCUGCAGGAAAAUUACCCGUUACUAGAUAAUUGACCAAAUCAGCAUACCAAGGCAAUUGAGAAUUUAAGAAAAAUAAAUGCUCUUCAGGGAAUGCAUCCUUCAAUGGCUCGUCCUUUUCCCCAACUGGUAUGCGACUCAAAUAGUCUGCUUCUAGAUUUUCUGAGCCUUUUUUAUCCCUUAUCUCUAGGUCAAAUUCCUGUAGUAGCAAUAUCCACCUGAUAAGCCUCGGUUUGGCAUCCUUCUUGGUCAUUAGGUACCUUAAUGCUGCAUGAUCAGAAAAUACAAUUACUUUAGCACCUAACAAAUAUGAUCUGAAUUUUUCUAAAACAAAAAUAACCGCAAGAAACUCCUUCUCAGUGGUGGAGUAAUUCAACUGUGCCCCAUUCAAAACCCGGAAUGCAUAAUAGAUGACAUGAGCCACCUUUCCUACUCUUUGCCCCAGUACAGCCCCAACAGCAUGAUCACUGGCAUCGCACAUGAUCUCAAAUGGCAAACUCCAAUCGGGGGGCUGGAUGAUCGAGGGCGAGGUAAGUAGCUCUUUCAACUUGUUGAAAACUUUCUCACACUUGUCAUCGAACUCAAAGGUCACAUCUUUUUGUAAGAGUUGGAAUAACGGGGCCCCAAUUUUUGAAAAAUUCUUGAUGAACCUUCGAUAAAAACCUGCAUGUCCAAUAAAAGAACGCAUUUCCAGCACAUUCGCGGGACAAGGUAAUGCAGAUAUAAUGUCUAUUUUAGCCUUGUCAACCUCAAUGCCCUUAGACGACACAAUAUGACCUAGGACUAUCCCGUGCUCAACCAUAAAAUGACAUUUUUCCCAAUUAAGCAUGAGAUCAGUCUCUAUACACCUUAUCAGGAUCAAUUUCAAGUUAUCUAGACACGUAUCAAAAUUAUCACCAUACACACUGAAAUCAUCCAUGAAAAUCUCAAUUAUUUUCUCAACAUACUCAGAAAAGAUGCUUACCAUACACCUUUGGAAUGUUGCAGGUGCAUUGCAUAACUCAAAUGGCAUUCGUCUAUAGGCAAAGGUCCCGAACGGGCACGUGAAGGUUGUCUUCUCUUAAUCCUCUGGUGCAAUUGCUAUCUGAAAAUAUCCUGAAAAUCCAUCCAAAAAGCAAUAGUAAGCUCUACAAGCUAAACGUUUAACCAUUUGGUCAAUGAAAGGGAGAGGGAAAUGGUCCUUUUUGGUGAUGGCGUUCAGCCUACGGUAGUCAAUACACUGCCUCCAUCCAGUGGAUUUCCGCACUGGCACGAGCUCACCCGUUUGGUUAGCCUCUACCGUCACUCCUGCCUUCUUUGGGACAAUCUGGACUGGACUCACCCAAGAGUUAUCUGAUAUUGCAAAAAUAAUUCUCACAUCUAGCAAUUUCAAAAUUUCUUUCUUUACCACUUCCAUCAUGAGGGGGUUGAGCCUCCUUUGAGCCUACCGAACAGGUUUAGCAUCCUCUUCCAGCCUAAUCCGAUGCAUACAGAUGGCUGGGCUGAUCCCCUUAAUGUCUGCGAUUGUCCAACCUAUCGCCUCUUUAUGCUCUCGAAGGACUCGGAUCAGUUUCUCCUCCUAGAUUUUUGAAAAUGCCGAUGAGAUAAUCACUGGGAGUGUCUCAUUGUCACCCAAAUACGCAUACUUCAGGUGCUCUGUUAGGGGUUUUAACUCCAAUUCAGGUGCAUGCACCACAGAUGGCAAUACCCUCUGGUAAAAUUCGGGAAUAAAGAUAGGUAGGAUUUCAUACCUUUUUGUGGUGGUCGGCAAUGAGUGUAAUGCACCUAUUGUGUAUUUUAGAUUCUCGCUCCAUUCCACCUCAGGAGUUGUCCCCAACUCGAGGUACUUCGUUAAAGCCACCUCCAACUCAUCCCUGCCAACAGUUUCGAACACUUCCUACACCGCAGGGUCAAUAGCACUCACAGAUAAAACUGAGCUAAAUUUGGAGAUCGAGUGAUAUUUCAUAGUAUCAAAAAUAUUAAAAUGCACAAUUUUCCCAUCAAAUUUCAUGGAUAAGGUACCCUUAUUAACAUCAAUUUUUGUUUGUACUGUGCUCAUAAAGGGUCUACUCAAUAACAAAGGUGAGGGAUCGGGGGAGUGAUCAUCAUCCAUAUCAAGUACAUAAAAAUCAGUUGGAAACACCAAAUCAUUAACUUUCACCAACACAUCUUUAACCAACCCAUCAGGAUAUGCAUUAGUUCGGUCAGUUAAUUGAAUGUUAUUCCAGUUUCUUUUAAUAGACCUAGUUUCAGAGAAGCAUAGAUAGAUUUAGGCAUGACAUUAAUUGAUACUCCCAGAUCCAACAUGGCCAUUCUAAUCACAGUGUUGCCUAUCCUACAGGGGAUAGUAAACAUACCUGGGUCCCCACACUUUGGUGGAAGCUUUCUCUGCAGGACCGCUGACACAUUCUCCCCAACAAUGACCCUUUCAUCUCCCUCAAUCGCCUUCGGUUGACACACAAGUCCCUUAGGAACUUGGCAUAUUUUGGUACUUGUUUGAUGGCGUCUAAGAGGGAGAUAUUUAUCUCCACCUUGCGAAACACCUCCAAGAUCUCCUACUCUUUAUCCUGUUUCUUCGAUUUUUUCAACCUGCUAGGAAAAGGAGGCGGGUUAGUUUUAACUGUAAUUAUUGGGUUUGGAAGUACCUUUGGAUCUGCACCAUUGCUGUCCUCCCUCUCAAACUCAUUUUCGAUCUUUUUCUCAUCCUUAUCCUUAGGGAUCACAGGUUCAGGCCCCUGAAUUUCCUUGCCACUCCUCAAGGUCAUGGCGCUCACAUUCUCCGAGUUCAACUCAGGCUGAGACGGCAAUUUAUCCUGGUUUUGGGACUCCAAACGGUUGAUUGAUGUGGUCAUUUGACUCAUCUGAGUCCUUAUGUCCUGCAUUUCGGAAUCCGUCCUUUGCUGAUUUUGCGUAAUAGUUGCCAUCAGCUGUUUCAUCAUCUCCUCCAAAGAUGGACCAGAACUUGGGGGCGGAGUGGUCGGGGCUGGUAUUGUUGCUGGUACCCUAGUUGCUUAUUUGGCACGAAAUUAGACUGCCUGUUCGGUGCAAAGUUGGGCUGCCUAUUUCCUCCAUAGCUGAAAUUCAGGUGAUCCUUUCAGCCGGGAUUGUAGGUACUUGAAUCGGGGUCAUAGGGCCUUCGUGGCGCGGGCGCGUGACCAGCCAUGUUCACUUGCUCUGCACUUUCUUCCUGGAGCAUUGGGCACAUGUCUGUAGGAUGACCCAUACCCGUGCAUACCCCGCACACCUUGGCCUGAGAUGCACUUCCUACAGCAAGUUGCCUAACAAAAGAAGUCAAUUCAGUCAACUGCUGCUGGAUAGAGGAUGUCUCUACCUCGUUCACUUUGCGUACCGGGACAUCCUCCCUUGUACCAAAUUGCAGCGAAUUCUCUGUCAUCCCCUCUAUUAACUCCCUUGCUUCCCGAGGGGUUUUGUUCACCAGUGCCUCUCCGCUUGCAACAUCAAUUAUACUCCUAUCUCUGAAAAGGAGCCUCUCAUAAAAAUACAAUAUGAGCAACUGCUCACUUAUCUGGUGCUGGGGGCACUUGUUGCACAACUUCUUGAACCGCUCCCAGUACUCAUAGAGUGACUCCCCUGGGUGCUGAUUGAUCCCUCAAAUUUCUUUCCUUAAAAUUGCAACCCUGGAUGCAGGAAAAUAUUUUUCUAGAAAUUUUUUCUGCAACUGGUCCCACGUGGUAAUGCUACCUGGUGGCAGGUAGUAUAGUCAGUCCUUUGCAGAGUCUUUCAAUGAGAAAGGGAAUGCCCGCAUUUUUAUUUGCUCUUCUGUGAUUCUCGGGGGUUUCAUACUAUUGCACAUAAUAUCAAACUCCUGCAGAUGCUUAUACGGCUCCUCACCUGGUAAACCAUGAAAAGAAGGUAAAAGAUGAAUAAGGCCAUAUUUUAAUUCAAAUGGAGUGCUAUUAUCUAAAUUUGGGAAAGCAAUACACAAAGGCUGCUGAUUUAAGUUAAGAGCAGCCAACUCCCUUAAUGUUCGUGCAUUAGCCAUGGUGCCUUCCUCCUGGUCAGAGUCACUCGAAGUGUUACCAAACGAGUCUGUUGGUUCAACUUCUGACUCAGGUCCCUGAGAUGCAGCACUGGAGUGCUCAUCUCUGAGAUGUUUGGUUUCCUUCCUUGUUCUACGCGCGGUCUUCUCUACUUCAGGGUCAAAAACCAAAUCACCUGUACGAGAAAACCGAGGCAUACACUAGAAAAAAAAAUACUAGAAAAUUAGAAUAAAAAAUGAGUUUAAAAAGAAACAAAUAAUAACGCCAGUCCCCGGCAACGGCGUCAAAAAUUGACAGGGUGUCGAAACCUGUACAAUAAUAAAAUUAAACCUAAUUAUCAGUUGAAAUGACCAAACCCAAUUCCAAGUAUUGGAGCAGGGACUCUAGGUGUGCAAUGGGUUACUUGAUUCACCCUAUUCCCGAAGAGUUUGCUUGAUCCGAUAUACCUGAAUGGAAUGGUUAUUUCUUUUCACAAAUAAUUAUGAAUUCGUAGACAGGGCAAGUACGGUCGUAUCCACUGGGACUGGGUAUACUUGUUUCUUAAGAAAUUCAAAGCAACACAGGGGGUGAUUUUGUAGGAAUGAUAACAAUCAAAUAAAUUCAAAUAAGAAAAUAAAAAUGAAAAUAAAUAACUGACUAGAAAUUAAACAAUAAUUCACUGAACUCAGAGUAACAAUAAUUAAAGACCCAAAUCAAUUAAAACAAGGAAGCACUUAAAAAUAAAAUAAAGUAGGCAACUAAAAGUCAAAUGGCAAUUCACCAAAAUUAAGGUAAUAUUAAUUAAAAGUCUAGCCAAGAAAUGACUUUAGCAAUGGUUCACCUAAUUGAUCAUCGAAACAAAGGCAAUCCCAAUUGUUUAUCAAUAAAUAGGUUAUAAUUACCAAACAAGCGAUAGCAGUCAACCCCUCCUUACUGUGUCGAUGAUUAAGGUACGCCCGUUAAUCACUGCUCUAAUUAAGGAAUAAUUCUAGGUACGCCCGUAAGAUUUAAUUCUCCAAUUGCCUUGCGUAUUAGAGGAGCCCUAUUCUAAUCAAAUAACGCACUACCAGGGUUAUUUUAGAUUAGCCCGCGUAUCCCCCUGACACGAAUCUAAUCGUGCCAGUUGUCACUAUUUCAGGACAAUUAAACAAUUACGGAUUUAAUGUCUUAAUUGACAGUAGGUUACCAAAUCAAUUAAUUAUCUGGAUCCAAGACAAUCAAUUAAUUAAAUAACCAUAAGCAUAGCAAACAAGAAAUAUGAAAGGCGAAUGAAAGUUACAGGUAACAAUUGAGUCUCUUAAUUGUUUCUAGCAUCCGUAGAGCAAAGCUACUCAAAAGGUACAAGGAGGAAAGUCAAAGUAGAUAGCCUCCAAUUCUCCUGACAUGCGUGAGAACAAGCAAAAAGGAAUUCUAAAGGAAGUAGCUAAUGAAAUGCUAAGCUAGUCCUCAUUGAGUUUGUUUGGAUAAGAGUUUAUUUGGAUGAUUUAUUUGAGAUAUUUACUGUAGCACUUUUUGUGAUAUGAUGUAUGUGAGAUAAAAAGGUGAUUGGGAUUUGUGAGAAUAAAUUUUGCAAACCAAAUUAUCUUUGUCCAAACAAACUCAUUGUCUUUCUCCCAGCCGUGGAGAAUGCUUACAAAAGGCUCGGAGGAAAAAGUCAAAAAGUGCGGCUCUCCAGCCCCUGCUCUCUUCCUUCUCUUUUUUUUCUCCUAAUUCCCCGCGGCACCUCAGCAGAAUGAAGCCCUUCCAGCCGUCAUUCCCUUGCGAAAUUUACCAAAAUGGACGUAACAUCUUCUUUUCCAAAAAUAUCCCUGGGUCAAUCUCUAUCAUCGGGACUCUUUUUCUACCAAAUGUGCACCUGUCAUCAUAUUUUCGUUCUACUCCCUGAAAUAAGUGCAAAUUACGAAAAGUAAAUAGAAUCUACUAAUUAAUCCACAUCAGGUCAGGUAUUAGGGGAAAUUAAUAAUAAAAUAAAUAGAUAAAUUGCAACCUAUCACUUGUUCAAAUAAUUAAAUUGCGAGCACAAUUUCCAGAUUACCCAAUAAAGAAAAUUCGUCUAGAUAAUGCUGGUGAAUAUUCGUCACAUGCUUUUGACGAUUAUUGUAUGUCUAUUGGAAUAACUGUUAAACAUCCUGUAACUUAUGUUCACACACAAAAUGGCCUAACUGAAUCAUUCAUUAAACGGUUACAAUUAAUCGCUAGACCAUUGUUGAUGAUAUCUAAAACUUCCUUCAUCUGCUUGGGGACAUACUAUUUUACAUGCAGCAACACUUGUGAGACUUAGGCCAACAAGUUAUCAUACUUAUUCUUCCCUACAAUUAACUUUUGGUUAUGAACCCAAUAUUUUUCAUUUACGAAUAUUUGGUUGUGCGGUAUAUGUUCCAAUUGCACCACCCCAACGUAGUAAAUUGGGCCCCCAAAGAAGAUUAGGGAUAUAUGUCGGAUAUGAAUCACCUUCAAUCAUUAAAUAUAUGGAACCAUUAACAGGUGAUUUAUUUACUGCGAGAUUUGCAGAUUGCCAUUUUGAUGAAUCACAUUUUCCGACAUUAGGGGGAAAUAAAAAUCAACCGAAAAAGGAAAUCACUUGGAAAAUAUCAUUGAAUUUUCUUGAUUCUCGUACUAAAGAAUGUGAAUUAAAAGUUCAAAAGUUUAUACAUUUGUAAAAAAAUUACAAAUCAAUUACCGGAUGCAUUUAAUGACUCCAGAAGAGUUAUUAAAUCACAUAUUCUUGCUGAAAAUGCUCCGAUUAAAAUCGAUAUCCCUGAAGGUCAAAUUACAAGUGCUAAUAAGUCUAAAGCACGCCUAAAGCGUGGGAGACCUCUUGGUUUCAAAGAUAAAAAUUCUUGAAAAAAAAAAGAGAAGUAGAUGAAUCAAUAAUUAGUGACAAAAUUCAACAUCCUGAAGAGGUCGCUCCUAAAGAACCAAUUCUUGAAGAAAAUGAAAUUAUAGAAAACUCAAUAAAUUUUGUCACUUUAAGAAAAAGUUGGAACCGAAAAGAAAUAAUUAUUGAUAAUAUUUUUGCAUAUAACAUAGCACUUGAUAUUAUGGCAGAGGAUGAGGAUUAUGAGCCUAAAUCGGUUGAUGAAUGUCGACGUAGAAAUGAUUGGCCAAAAUGAAAAGAUGCGAUCCAAUCUGAAUUGGACUCACUGGCUAAAAGGAAAGUUUUUGGACCUGUAUUCCAAACACCUGAAGGUGUAAAGCCAGUAGGAUAUAAAUGAGUAUUUGUGAGAAAAAGAAAUGAGAAAAAUAAAAUUAUGAAGUAUAAAACAAGACUUGUAGUCCAAGAAUUUUCACAAAGGUUUGGAUUUGAUUAUAAUGAAACGUAUUCACCUGUAGUGGAUGCUAUCACAUUUAGAUAUCUUAUGAGUUUUGCAGUACAUAAAAAAUUAGAUAUGCGUCUAAUAGACGUUGUUACUGCAUAUUUAUAUGAAAAUUUUGAAAAUGAUAUUUAUAUGAGAAUCCCUGAAGGAUUCAACAUGCCUGAAGUAUGCAAAUCAACUCCUAAAGAUAUUUAUUCUAUUAAAUUACAAAGGUCUUUGUAUGGGUUCAAACAAUCUGGACGUAUGUAGUAUAACCGCCUCAAUGAAUGUCUAACUAAAGAAGGUUAUACCAAUGAUCUAAUAUGUCCAUGUGUUUUUAUCAAGAAAAAUGGAUCAAAUUUUGUGAUAAUUGCGGUAUAUGUUGAUGAUUUAAAUUUAAUUGGAACUCCUGAAGAGAUUCAAAAUAGUGUUGAAUAUUUGAUAAAAGAAUUUGAGAUAAAAAAUUUUGGACAGACAAAAUUCUGGCUUGAUUUACAAAUUGAGCAUUUGAAAGGUGAAAUUUUUGUUCACCAAACUGCUUAUACCCAAAAGGUAUUAAAACGAUUUUAUAUGGAUAAAGCACAUAGAUUAAGUACCCCAAUGAUCGUCAGAUCAUUAGAUCCUAAUAAGAAUCCUUUUAGAUCACGAGAGAAAAAUGAAGAGAUACUUGGUCCUGAAGUACCAUAUCUCAGUGCAAUUGGUGUACUAAUGUAUCUUGCUAAUUGUACAACACCUGAUAUAUCAUUUGCAGUGAAUUUAUUAGCAAGAUUUAGUUCCUCACCCACAAGACGACAUUGGAAUAGUAUUACACAUAUUUUUCGCUAUCUCCAAGGAACAAUUGAUUUUGAUUUAUUUUAUUCAAAUAAAUUCAAACCUGAAUUGGUUGGUUAUACUGAUGCUGGGAAUUUAUCUAACCCGCAUAAAACAAGAUCUCAGACUAGUUAUUUAUUUACAUAUAGAGGCACAGCCAUUUCUUGGCGAUCUACAAAGCAAUCACUAACCGCCACUUCAUCGAAUCAUGCUGAAAUAAUAGUAAUUCAUGAAGUCAGUCGAGAAUGUGUUUGGUUAAGAUCAAUGACCCACUAUAUUCGAAAGAGUUGUGAGUUAUUCUCCGAAAAAGAAAAUCCUCCAACUACAUUAUAUGAAGAUAAUGCAACUUGUAUUGCUCAAUUGAAAGGAGAUAGGACAGAACACAUUUCACCAAAAUUCUUUUUUACUCAUAAUUUGUAAAAGAAUGGUGAAAUUAAUGUGCAACAAAUCCGAUCAGAUAAUAAUUUGACAGAUUUAUUUAUCAAGACAUUACCAACUGCGACAUUUGAGAAAUUGAUGAAGAGUAUUGGAAUGCGACAAUUAAAAGAUCUCAAAUGACGUUUGCAUCAGGGGGAGAAAUUAUUACACAAGAAUAAUGUACUCUUUUUUCUUCACUAGGGUUUUUGGUUCCACUGGAUUUUUUCCUAAUAAGGUUUUAACGAGGCAUAUUUUUUGUGUAAUGGACAUCCAAGGGGGAGUGUUAUGAAAUAACAAAAAAAAUAUGGAUGUCCCUUUGUAUUCCCAAGGGAAUUAAUUCAUGAUUUUAUGGUUACAUUAUGUAUAGAAGUUACAAUCCAUAAAUCUAUUCAUGUAGUGGAAAAACCGUUUUAUAAGUUUCUUCAUAUUAUUGUAGUAGUGGGUGUUUAAUAUGAUUUAUGUAUCUUUGAUCUUGUAAUACCUAUAUAUAGAGGUACAUUAACACCCUUUGGGAGCACUUUUGUAUUUUGUUGGAAUACAAGAAUAUCACUCUCCAUUUCUCUACUUCUUUCUCCAAUAUUUCACUUGAUAUUAUAGUAGCUUAUUUUAUUAGUUUUAUAACAAAAAACCCUUUCUUAAAUAUUUUUUCUUGCGAAGUCAAUAAGUAUAAUAUGGCGCGGUUUUGAUCACUUAGGAUUCGUUUGGUUCACGGACCAAAUAAAAUGGGAUGACUCAUGCUCGAAUUAUUAAUCCUGAAUUGAGUCAUUUUCAAAUAAAUAAUAUAAGUUAUCUAGUGUUUGAUUGGUUAUAAAUUGGACAGGAUAUGUUGGGAAAUAAUCUUAUCCCGUGUUUGGUUGGAAAUUAGAUGAGAAAAGAUUACCAUUUUAAUGACCAAAGUACCCCUUAAUUUGUAGAAUUCUUUUUAAUAAAAUAAUUUAAUAUUUUUAAAAUAUUAAUAAUUUAUUAUUAAAAAAGUAAUUUAAUAAAAAAUUUCAUAUUUAUAACUUUUAUUAAAAUAGAGUAGUUUGAAACUUUAGAAUUAUAAAGUAAAUCAUGCAUUUUAAUAUAUAAAAAUUUACAUUCACUCAAACUCAACCCAUUCGGGUUCUUAAAAAUACAUUUUUGACCAAGUUUUUGAAUCUAAAUUUGAAAUUCAAUUAAAUAAUGGGCUGAGCUUUGCUAAGGUAGGGUUAAAUCGAUUAAAACCUAACCCAUUUAAGAGUUUUAAAUGAGCGAACUCAAUCUAAUAUAGAAGAUUUUUCUUUGGACCGAGUUUGAGUUUAUUGAAGUCCUCAUUCACAAAGGCCAAUUGAUAAGGUUAUAUAUUUAUAUAGAAUUUGGUUUAGAAAAUAAGCUUAGUAAGGAUAAUUUAGUCCAAGGGCAAUAUAGUCCUUCUAUUAUGAUGUUAGUAUGGCAAAUUAGUCAAAAAUUUUAAAUUAAUUAAUAGGGGUAAAUUAGUCAAAAUUUUAAAAUAAUAAAUAGGAGCAAAUUAGUCAAAAAAUUAUUCGUGCUCCGAGUCUUGAUUAUUCCUCAACUAGAUAAAAGGAUUUAGCCUUGCCGCAUAAUCACAAAGCAAUUGAAGGCUUUCAAUGGAAUAGAAUUUAGUUGAUGGAAGAGGAAAAAGCCAUGAAUCUUUGACUAAUGUUAGGAAGAAGAAAAGAAAGACAAAAGUUUCCAAGCUAAAAGACCCAGCCCUAGUCUAUUCCUGUUUUCUUUUAAAGCUCCGCCGCCGUCCUCUAGCUAGCCGAAUUAGAGGUUGUUUCUCAAACGAAUUGCUUCCUUAUUUCCCUCCUUGAAUUGCUGCCAAAAGUCGUCUUUGACUUUGUUUUCUUAUUCCCGCAAGUUCAGAAUUUGUUCCCAAAGAAAGGCGGUAGUUCCACGGAUAGGACCCGUGGUCCGUCUUUUUCACGCAACUCUGUAUUAUUUGGCGUGGGCAAGCUAUAGAAUGUCUAGUCUUCUGAAAUUUGCCUCUUCUUGUCACUUUUAACACCACUCGUCUGCCAAUAACACAAAUACCAAAUCUGAGCAGAAAUCCAGUGUCUUGCACAAUAAAUGACCAAAAUUAAGAUCAAAUACCAACGAAUAAAACACACAAUUAUACUGACAGUAGACAUUUUGUGGCAGAUAUGAAAAUCUAGAAACCGCUUUCAGCUCAAGAAGGAAAGGAAAUGUCCAAGAACAAUGGCAAGCAAAGCAGUGCAAGAAUGGCAAGAAUAGAGUAGUGCAAAGAGGGGAAGAUGGGGAAACAUGGAAAGAUAAGGAGAAUUCUGAGGUUGAGGUCAAGUGGAAACCACCUACAAAUGGUUUCAUUAUGUUAAACAUUGAUGCAACUUUGGAUAAGAAACAAGAGAAGGCUGGUUGGGGAAUUGUAACAAGGAAUGAACAUGGAGAAGUAGUAUGCACUUAAGCUGGAAAUGAAAGCAAGAACAGUAAGGUUGAGAUUGAAGAAGCGUUGCAAUCAGAACUGCAUUGACGAAGGGCAAUUAGGAAGGUUGGGGGAAAGUUAUAGUCCAAUCAGAUUGCACAAAUAUGGUGGACAGGAUUGCAGAGAGUGGUACACUUGAUCUUGUGAUAGGAACAAUAGUUGAGGACAUAUUUAGUUUUAUACAAAGUUUCAAUAAAUGACAUCUUUCCUUUAUCAAGAGGGAAGGUAACUAUAUUAGUCAUCAUUUAGCAAAAUUAGCCAUAAACCUGGUUAAGGAAGUCUGUUAAAGGGAUUCUUUCCCUCCCUGGUUAAUCAACUUAGCCAGAAAUGAAGUAGGAGCAAUUGCUCCAUCCUUGUAAUCCCUUGUGUUUGAAAUACAAAGCUAUUAUUGUUUGGCAAAAAGAAAAACUUAGUUAACUCAAUUAAUUGAAAAAUUUAUGUCUAUAGUUAACAAUAGAACAUUUUGAAAGACUACAUACAACCUAGAUUCUUUGUUGCAUUCAGAGAAAGAAAAGGUCCAACCCCCAUUAAUAUACCAUGUGUUUUAGUCAUUUUUUAUUGAAAAAGAAAAAGAAAAAGAAAGCCAUAUUGAAGGUGACAGAUUGUGAUAUUACUAGGCUAUGGAAGUUGGCAUUCAGCAACGUGUUUGCAUUAAGAAUAGGAUAAAUUACCUUUUACUUCCGUGGUUUGGUGUUUUAUGACAUAACUUCCCUAUGACUUAAAAAUUUAUAUAUACUCUUCUCAUGAUUUGGGUUAAUGUGUCACUAUUAGUUUUUUGUCCAAACAAACAGCCAAUAAUAAAAAACAAAUUUAAACUAAUAAAAAGAUAAAUUUACUCUUUCAUUACUUCUUUUUUUCGUCUAAACAUAAAAAAAGAAGAAAUUAAAAUAAAAAAUAGAUAAUAAGAACUAGAAAAUAUCAUUAAAAUUUUGGUUUAAAAACAUAUAAUGAUAUUUGUGGUCAAAAAAGGUUUGAUAUUUUUUGUUUCUUAUUUAUUUAUUUUAUGUUCCUAUUCCAUCUUUUUGGUUUCUUAUUUAUUUUUUUAUUUCCCUUUCAUCUCUUUGGUAUUUGGAGAAAAUUAAGAUUUUAUAGGUUAAAGUAUAGAUUUUCAAAAUCAUCUAUUCUCUUCCCCAAAAAAAGAGAGAGAGAGUGAGAGAAAGAAAAGGAAAAAAGGGAAAAAAAAAGUAAAAGGAUGAACUGUCAAUUUAUUAGUUGACUUUGAUAUUUUAUUAUUGAUCAUUAAUUUUAACAAAAAAACUAGGAUAAAUUAUAUUUUACCCCCCUGUGGUUUACCCUUUUUUUACAUAACCCCCCUAUGGUUUCAAAAGCUAUACAUAACCCCCUCAUGGUUUGGAUUAAAGUGUCAAAGUAACGGAAAUAGUCCCUCGUAACGGAACUUCUAAAAAUGUCGAAAUUACCCUUAUAAAUACAUGAUACAUUAACCCCCUAUGAUUUUUAUAUUUUACCAUAUAACCCCCUUAUGGUUUAAUACUUUACCAUAUAACCCCCUUAUGAUUUUCAAAAUAUACACAUAACCCCCCUUGGUUAAUACAUAAAUUUCAGCCUUACAUAAGGGUAUUUUUGACAUUUUAGAUGACGCCGUUACGAGUGACUAUUUUCGUUACUUUGACACUUUAAUCCAAACCAUAAGGGGGUUAUGUAUAGCUUUUGAAACCAUAGAGGGGUUAUGUGAAAAAACGCUAAAUCACAGGGGGGUAAAGUGGAAUUUGCCCAAAAAACUAAUAGUAACACUUCAACCUAAACUAUGAGAAAAUUAUAUAUAAAUUUUUUGAUCAUAAGGGGGUUGCAUGGUAAAAUACCAUACCACACCACGGGGAAGGGGAUAAUAGGUAAUUUUAUCCUUAAAAAUAUAGUAGUGGUUAAGCAUACAGAACAAGGAUAUGACUCCGCAGCUAUAUUCAUGUAAUCUAAAUUUUGGCUGGGAUAUGAGAAUUCACAUUCACUUUCACACUUUGUAUUUAUGGUUACUGGGAUACCAGGAAAUAGCAGAACAAUCCCUCCAUUGAUUCAUUUACUUGGUCUGACAUAUGCUCUAUUUAUAGGUUCAAAGAAUCUGCAGGGAGUUUGGCACUGCUUCAGGGGUCAGAAACAUGGAUAGACAAUUAUGACACAAGAUUUGAGUCUGGUUGCCAAAAUUUCACAAGAAAAGGUUCAUUUGGCAUCUGAUCUUUUAAAACCAGUCCAUGAGAUUUGCAUUAUAAACACAUAAUUCAGUAAUCUGUGAGAUACUGAGACGGCCUCCGAAUAAACCAAAAGCUGUGUCCACAAGAUGCUUAAUAGAAAAACAAAAUGCCAGAACAGGAUAGGCUAGCUCCAGGUAGCAUUACAUAGAAGAGUUUCAAACAGAAUUUGAUGGACUAAUAAUGACACAAUCUCAGCAGCUUCAGCAACCUGUUAAGAACAUUGAACAAACAUCAUUAGAUACGUUGAAAUGAAAAAGAUAAACAAAAAAAGAGAAGAAAAAUGUCACCACAAUAAAUAGUAGAACAACUAGAAACUGGUUUUCCACUUCUCAAUGCUGCUCUGCACAUAGUAUCACCACUACUCUACAUACAAUCUUCUUCUCGUUUGGAAUAAAGUAGGGUUCUCAACCAUUAUCUCCAACAUAAAUCAGACCAGUAAAUCCAUUUUCCUUUUCCUGGUCCAAGAACUUCCACAAGAAAAAGACUUCAGGCCUCCAAAUGUGUAUUUAUAUGCUCUAUGGUGAACAAGUUCCUGCUACAUGACAAUUAAAGACGAAAUUUGUCAUCCUAAACGCAGCAAUUGUUUAACACUAAAACAAAUGCAAUUUGCUGUAACAGAGUGGAAAACUAUGUUACUCGGGCUCGGGCAUGAGGGUCAGAUAUGGGUAUGUGUCUAAGUGUCUAGUUCUUUAAUCAUCUAAAAACAGGAUAAAGGGGCACUUCUAAAGAGUCGGAUACUGGUACUUAGGUAUGAUGGACAUUCUAGGAAAUAUACAAAUUAUGUACAUCGAUUGUUGUUUACUUAUAUACGAGCAGGGCAAUUUUCCUUGGGAGCUUGUUAGAUUUCAUUUAUACAAGGGAAAUUCAGAAUUCUAGAUAGGUCUUCUUUCUCUCUAACAUGAAAGUCCUAAAGUUUUCCACUUCACUUUACCUCUCUCGUCCCCCUUCACCAUCAACAUCCACUGACAAAAAAGAGACCAGUACCAGUGUCAAGUUAUGUCGACACGGGUACAUUGGGGUACAACAAAGAGCCGGAGUAACAUAGGUGGAAAGGUGAUUUUCAGGUAGCUAAUCUGUUAGUGUCACCAGUUUGACAAGCUUAUACCCAUUAUGGCAACAAUGGCUUUCACCCUGACAAAAUUAUACAUAACUUGAUGACUAUGUCUUGGAAAAUCUUUUGCAUUGCUCAGGCUUCCAAGAAAGAUAGAUGGUGAGAGACUGAGAGUGAUAGCUGGAAAUUUCAAUCACUUAAUAAAGCUCACUUCUCUCUUCCUUUCUACCUGGCACAUUAGAAUCAACUUUCCAUUCCAUGGAACUGGUCAUGAAAAAGUUAAUGUGUGUUAGGAACCAAAUAUACCCCUCAUCUCAACACACAUUAUUUAUAUCUACAGCCAAGCCCCACAAAAACUUUGGUUUUAAGAGAACAGAAAGCAAACUCCUACAAAAACAGUUUCAAGAUUAUAAUCGUGUUUGAAGUUACUGAUGACAAGAAUGAUAAAAUCCAGCUACAGCUUUGCCGAGUAAUGUCAUCAGAAAAACCACUUCUAAUAGGCUUGAGUAUCAUUCUUCAAUGCAAGUAUAGAUACCAAACCAGUAACAUGCCAACUUGCACUCACAGCAGUUUUGUUACCAGCAGUUAGCCAGUAGGGUUUCAGACUUCAAUCACAGAAUGAGAGCUGCGAAAACACUAUGCAAUGAAAGUUGCUAAUAAGCAACUGUUAAGAAUUGAACUUUGUUCCAACCUCGAAAGGAAAAGAUAUCAGAAACUAUAAUACUCAACAACUGUUAUUUGCCUAUAUCUCUGUCUGCCCCUAACUCAAGCAUACUUCCCAUUCAACUGUAGUUCAAACUCAAUAAAAGCCCAGAUUCCCAGGACUACAGCUUAUUGUUAAAUGUGAGUAUUAUCCUCAGCUAUCUUUUCUCUGGAAAAGCUGUUUAAUCAGAUUCUUUCCUAGCUGGGGAUACAAUGUAUCUCUACAUGCCCCUUGGAAGAGAGCUUUUGGCUACAAACCUCAAUAGGCCACAAUUGUUUUCCGGCUUAGCUCCACUACAUGGAUAAUUUCCUAUUUCUUUUUUUUUUUCAAGUCCUUUUGCCCAGUAUCAAGUGAAAAAUGAGGCUCAUACAAGCAAUGAAAGCUGUAACUGGGCAAAUCUUGGUGGUAUUGACCAGAACCAACUACUAAAGCACCCCAAAUCCCAUGGUUUUUUCUUCAUGCGAGCAGUUGCACUUAUAGCCAGUUUGUCACACAUCACAUAGUCUACUCACUUAAUACAACUAAAAAGCAGUCACGAAACACAACUGCUCUUAGUAAAAAAAGAAGCCAUCCAUUUAGCUUGAUGAUUUCAUAAGGUUCAGACUGAUGCUUUGACAGAAUUUGGUAAACAUCAGGUACAAAUGAAAAUACCUAGACAGAAACCUGAUGUACUGCAGGUGAACAUUUAUUAUCUAGUACAAAGGCACUACAUUUGCAAUCUUUUCCAUUUCUCCAUUACAACAGAAUGAUUAGCUUCAAUACUUCUGAGGUACAAAAUUAUCAAAAUUUGUUCAGUUGACAACAGAAAACUAAUCAGGCCAUUAUAAUUAGCACAUCUAGAAACAACUUUGGGAGUUAGACGUAAUAUCAAUGAACAUUCAAAGGUAUCAAAAAGCUAAACACAGAUCCACACAAAGCAAAGGAACUAAAAAGUUCUCUCGCUGAGUAUGUCUGAGCUGCAACCGAGCAAAUACAUCCUAAAACAAGUUCAUAAACAUUGUCUCCAAAGUGGCACUAUUCUUUGCCUACCAACUGAAGCAAAUCUCCAACCAACAAAAGUGAGGUACAAAAGAAGGAUAUAAGCUUUAUCACAAAGAACCACAUAAAUGAGCAAUGCAACACUCUUGAGUCUUGACAGAUACAGAAAUUCACUGAGAAACUCAUAAACUUGAAUUAAACCACAUUCGAUUGAAGAAAACGUAAAUAACCAAUUACAAAACUAAAACAAGAAAAAUCCUUGACUAAUACUCCCUCUGUUCCAUUGGCACUGUCAUAUUUUCCUAUUUGUAACUUACAAAAAUUGGCUAACACAGUUGCAUUCAAUUCCUCCAUUUACCGUUCAAACACUCCCUAAAAGUCCAAUGCAUGUGUCUUUUCAUGAGCCCACAGAUUAUUACCAACGAAACUAAGACAACUUCUUUUGUAGUACGCGCUAGUUGGCAUUUAGAAACUAAAGCCAUCAAGUGUUCUGAUGCACGCGCUAGUUGGCAAUCAUAUCUGCGAUUGGACAAACAUAUUGGCUCCACGAUUCUUUAUGUCUUAAUACAACACUUAAAGCUCUUCAAUUUUCAAAUUCUAUCCACUCUUCAUAAAAAUUACAAUUCCCGAAGUGCAAUAAAUUUUUGGGAUGAAGCGAGUAAUUCUCAAUAGCAGACCAAAACUGUCAUUAAAUUGUCUAUUAUACGAGUCAUUAGCUCAUAAAUUGCAAGCACUUCAACCAAAAAUUACAUAUCAAUGACAAAAAACCCCAUUCAGAGAUAACCUUAAGACUGUCAAAACAUAGAGAUUAUAAAUCCUAAAGACUGUCAAUUUAAAAAACUAAAGCAAACCCACUUAACAAAACCUAUUCAACCGUCACCCAAGAAAACAAAAUUUUAUGUACUUUCCCUAAGAUUAAACCAAAUAAAACUUGAAACCCAGAAAAAUGUCAAAAAGCCUCCAAAAAAAUCCCAGGUAAAAUCAUCCAAAAUAGAACUCAAAGAAAAAACUAAAAAAUAAUUACCUUGUUUUUGUUGGGCUUCGGCUUCCCGGAUCUUCUGCAUCCGUUCCAUGACAAGCUCGUACUCGCACUUCUUACCUGCUUGAUUGAUUAACAAAUUGAUAAGACCGAAACAAGUAAUCUAUGUGCAUAUGCCGCUCAUAUGCUCUGCCUAAUCAAUUAUAAAUGUAAACAAAAUUCACCGCUCGAGUUGAAGCAAAAAUCAAGAGUCGGCCUUGUUUGAAUUCCCAUUUCUUCCCAAAAAAUUUUACACUUUGCGUUAAUGCGUCUUUCAAUCACUUUUUUUUACCUCAUGUGUAUCGUAUAGUUACAAUCUAUUUUUUCACAAAAACUCCAGAAAAUAGUACUCCUCCGUCCCACUUUAAUAGUUCUGUUUCUUUUUUCGCACAGUUUAAGAAAGAGUAGUUAACUUUGUUGAAAAAGUAAAUUUAGAUUGCUAUUUUCCUAAAAUACCCUCACAUUAAAUAGAGUACAACUUUAUGGGAACUUGAAUUGAUGGUAAAAAAAGAAUCAACUCUCAUUAAAUGGGGUAGAUUUAUAGCAACAACAACUUGUAUUGAAUAAGGGUAUUUUAGGAAAAUAAAAAUACAAUUACAUUUUUUAAUUAAAAAAUGGACUGUAAUUUGGGACAGAUAAAAAAGAAAUACAGGACUAUCAAAGUGGGACGGAGAGAGUAGUAUCUAUUUGCGAUCUCAAAAGCAGCAAUUAAAAUGACUGCUGCACUGCCCCACUCACAUCGGUUGAGCUGAAGGAACUACAAUUACACAGUCAAAAUGACUGAAGCUCUAAUAGAAAGGCCGCCAGAGUUGCUCCAAAUUAACCGGUCCAUAUCCGCUGCUAGUACAGCAAUGAUACUGAAAGAUGAAGUUGCAAUCUUGCUGCUGCUGCUGCUAGUCUUCUCAUUGAAAUUAAUGUCUUAGUAUCCACAGAAUUUUCUCAAGUACCCCACAGCUUUCUCUUCACAGACUCGACCACAAUUACCAUGGUCCCCCCAGCUCUCUAUUGGACUCUUUUCUCAUGGCAGCCGGCUGCCAACCAGGGUGAUAGACUCAUAAAGCCGAGAAUCUUUUUCUAUUUUGCUAACUUCCAAGAAAUAAUUUCAAGCAGGAAUUUGUCCCUUUCCUUACCUGCCUCCAAAAAAAAUUAUAGAAAUUAUUCUUUGGAGUAUGGGAGUAUAGUAUAAUUUGAAUCAGUCUAAAGACUUGACUUUUCCGACUUGGCAAGUCCACGCAGGAGUUUACAGUGACGACGGAGCCAUCCUCACUUCAUUUUCCAAGGACCAAUAAUUCCUCUCGCCUCAUCCUGCUAAUCCUACACCAGCUUUAAACCGAUCACCUCCAUCGAUGUAGGAGUAAUCUUUGUGUUUUGCGGUACCCUCUUAAUUUUGCUCCAAUGUUUACUCUUCUUGUAUACCUCUCCUUUCUCUUCAAUCUCUUGUUCAUCAUCACUUCCAGCGAUACUCCGCCUUACAGCCCCACAGAUUACAUCCUGAUCAACUGCGGAUCAUCCUCAAACGCAACCUCAACCGAUGGCCGAAACUGGUACGGCGACGCCGGCUCAAAAUUCUCCCCUAACGACAUGGCGAAUAUAUCAUCAGCUGUCACAGCCACCGAGCAAGACUCUUCCGUCUCCGGAGCCCCUUAUUUAACUGCCCGUAUCAUUCGUUCUAAUUUCUCCUAUACCUUCCCUGUCUCCCCCGGAAAAAAGUUCGUCCGCCUUUACUUCUACCCGGCCUCCUACUCCAGCGACUUCAACGCAACUGAAUCUUUCUUCGCUGUCAUGGCUAAUAACUACACCCUUCUGAGCAACUUUAGCGCAUUUUUAACAGUUUCCGCCGGGGGAUUCUCACCUGCCUACGUCGUUAAAGAAUUCAUCAUUAAUGUUGAGGCUAUGAAUCAAUUCCUCAACGUUACCUUUUUGCCCUCUACGCAGUCCUACGCGUUCAUUAAUGGAAUUGAAGUUGUUUCAACCCCGGACGGACUCUACAUGGGCAAUAAUCCCCUCAAAAACGUGAAUGAUCCCAACAUUCAGUUCGAGCUUGAUCAGAACGACACUGCCUUCGAAGCUCUUUACAGGCUUAACGUCGGAGGAAAAGAUGUUUCUGCAUUAGCUGAUAGUGGGAUGUUCCGAGGAUGGGUUCCCGAUGACAAAUUCAUCUGGAGCGUAGAUCAAGGGAAUCCAUUGAGCAAUAAUGAAAUUGCUGUCAACUACACUCUGCAAACCCCAAAUUACACUGCGCCAGCGAUAGUUUAUGCUACCGCAAGGGCGAUGGGCAACUUUAGCACCCGCUUCAACUUGAGCUGGAUGUUCUCUGUUGAUUCUGGAUUUGAUUAUCUCCUGAGGUUGCAUUUUUGCGAGAUUAACCCUGAUUUGAUUACACAAGAGAACCAACGGGUGUUCAGGAUAUUCAUCAGUAACAAAACAGCUGAGGAAGAGGCUGAUAUUAUAGCUUGGACCGGCGGCCCCGGAAUCCCGGUUUUCAGAGACUACGUCGUGCUCGUUCCACACCCACCGGAUGGUCGCCCGAGCAAGCAAGACUUGUUUCUUGCUCUGCACCCAAAUCUCGACGUCAAGCCGAAGUAUGCUGAUGCAAUCUUGAAUGGUUUAGAAUUGUUCAAAUUGAACAACAGCGACGGCAGUCUUGCCGGGACCAAUCCUGAUCCGCCGGCGGAUCCCAAUUCCCGGAUGCCAAACAGCAAGCCACCGAAAAAGGGGAGAGGUGUAAAAUCUCGGGUACUUUUUCCUAUCGUGGGAGGGGUGGUCGGAGGGGCUGCCUUGGUUUUGAUCAUCGGUUUCUUGAUUUCCCGGCGGCUAAGGAGACGGGUAAAAGAUUUUGACCAGAAAAGUGCUUCAAAGUCAUCCGGGGUCCAACUUUCAACCACGUCCAGGUCAUCAAAGGCAACAAGUGCAUCGAGGUCUUCGUCACUGCCGCUGGAUCUUUGCCGGAGAUUUUCCCUGGAGGAGAUCAUCUUUGCUACGGCCAACUUCGAUGCUAACUUUGUGAUCGGAACCGGAGGAUUCGGAAACGUGUACAAAGGGUACAUCGACAAUAGUCUAAUCACAGUUGCUAUUAAGCGAUUAAAUCCUUCGUCAAGUCAAGGGGUCCGCGAAUUUCGAACCGAGAUCGAGAUGCUGUCGAAUCUAAGGCAUCUUCAUCUGGUAUCCCUGAUAGGUUACUGUGACGAGAAGGGAGAGAUGAUCUUGGUUUAUGAUUACAUGGCCAAUGGCACCCUCCGCGACCACCUCUACAAAACAGAUAAUCCACCCCUCCCGUGGAAGCAACGGCUUCAGAUUUGCCUCGGCGCAGCCAGAGGGUUGCAUUAUCUCCACACCGGCGCCAAGCACAGCAUCAUCCACCGGGACGUCAAGUCAACCAACAUAUUGCUGGACGAGAAAUGGGUGGCUAAGGUUUCGGAUUUCGGUCUGUCCAAGCUAGGCCCCAGCGGUGGAAUCCACAGCCAUGUCAGCACGCAGGUGAAGGGGAGUUUCGGCUACGUAGAUCCGGAGUAUUACAAGAGACAGCAGUUGACGGAGAAGUCGGACGUGUACUCGUUCGGGGUGGUUUUGCUCGAAGUGCUGUGUGGGCGGGGAGCCAUUAUUCCCAACUUGCCCAAGGAGCAGGUGAAUUUGGCGGAGUGGGGCAAGAGGUAUUACGCAAAAGGGAUCAUCCACCAAACUGUAGACCCUCACAUGAAGGGCGAGAUUGCUCCUGAGUGUUUGAGGAGCUUUGCUGAAACAGCGAUCAACUGUUUGAAAGAUCAGGGGAUUGAACGACCCGGAAUGAAUGAUGUAGUUUGGAGCCUCGAAUUCGCGUUGCAGCUUCAGGAGGCGGCUGAAAAUAAGAGCGGUCGACGUCCAUUUGCUUUCCGUAUGCAUGGGUUGGGAAGAGAUGAGCAAGCUACGACUGAGGAUGAUGAGGAUGUGUUCUCAGACUCGGGAGUUGAGAAAGAUUCUGCCGCCCUGAUGAAGAGCCGUAGUAUUACGACCGGGACAUUCACGGCCAGUAGUGACAUGUUAAAGUCUGAUAAUGUUUUCUCCGAGAUCAUGAAUCCCACCGGCAGGUGAGGAUUGUAAUCAACAGAUUAAACCUCCAAAAAUGGACGUGGGAUAUUCAUGUCUCGGGAGUCUAGCGUGCUUUGUCCUUGUGCUAUUUUUUUUUUUUUUGGUCUGUAUUGGGCAACCUAUUUGUAAUGCCAAGAUAGUAUAUUUUUGGAAAUGUAAUAUUAAUUAAGGAAAGUAAAUAAAUAUUGGGAGUGUUUUUGAAAAUGUAAAAUCGAUUUAAAAAAGUAAAUAAAUAUGAUAGAAGGUUAGUAAGACUAGAUGGGAAAAGUAUUUAUUAAAUGCAAGGGAAGGUGAUAAUUCAUGCCUUAGGAGUCUAGUGUGCUAUGUCCUUGUGCAUUUUUUUUUUUUUUGUAUUGUGCAACCAUUAAGAUAUAUUUGUGGUGUUAAAAUAUAUUUUGAAAAUGUAAAAUUAAUUAAGGAAAGUAUGUAAAUAUGAGGGAGUAUAUUUUGGAGAUGUAUGAUUAAUUAGGAAGAGUAAAUAAAUACAAGAAAUGAUUGGUAAGAUUAGAUGGGAAAAGUAUUAAAUGCAAGGGAAAGUAAUAACUAUUAGUAUGUGUAUGUAUGAUAGGUUAGGUGAAUUUUAAAUGUCUUAAUAAAAUAAAAGUACCUAAUGGAUAUGGGUACCCAUUAAAAAAAACGCUUUCUUAAAUAUUUUUUCUUGCGAAGUCAACAAGUAUAAUAUCGCACGGUUUUGAUUGCUUAGGAUUCGUUUGGUUCACGGACCAUAUAAGAUAUGAUGACUCAUGCUCGAAUUAUUAAUCCUAAAUUGAGUCAUUUUCAGAUAAAUAAUAUAAGUUAUCUAGUUUUGAUUGGUUAUAAAUUGGAUAGGAUAUGUUGGGAAAUAAUCUUAUCCAAUGUUUGGUUGGAAACUGGAUGAGAAAAGAUUACCAUUUUAAUGACCAAAGUACCCCUUAAUUUGUAGAAUUCUUUUUAAUAAAAUAAAUUAAUAUUUUAAAAAUAUUAAUAAUUUAAUAUUAAAAAAUAAUUUAAUAAAAAUUUUCAUAUUUAUAACUUUUAUUAAAAUAGAGUAGUUUGAAACUUUAGAAUUAUAAAGUAAAUCAUGUGUUUUAAUAUAUAAAAAUUUGCAUUCACUCAAACUCAACCCAUUCGAGUUCUUAAAAAUACAUUUUUGACCAAGUUUUUGAACCUAAAUUUGAAAUUCAAUUAAAUAAUGGGUUGAGCUUUGCUAAGUUAGGGUUAAAUCGAUUAAAACCUAACCCAUUUAAGAGUUUUAAAUGAGCUGAACUCAAUCUAAUAUAGAAGAUUUUUCUUUGGACCGAGUUUGAGUUUAUUGAAAUCCUCAUUCGCAAAGGCCAAUUGAUAAGGUUAUAUAUUUAUAUAGAAUUUGGUUUAGAAAAUAAGCUUAGUAAGAAUAAUUUAGUCCAAGGGCAAUAUAGUCCUUCUAUUAUGAUGUUAGUAUGGCAAAUUAGUCAAAAAAUUUAAAUUAAUUAAUAGGGGUAAAUUAAUCAAAAUUUUUAAAAUAAUAAAUAGGAGCAAAUUAGUAAAAAAAUUUCAAUAUAAUUGGAAGGGGUUAAUUAGUCCAUUUAUUAUCAUAUUAUUAUGUGAGACUAUGGUUAUAUAAUAGUUAGUAUGAAUUUGUAUCACUCAUAAGGGCAAAUUAAUCUAAAUAUGUUAUAUUGGUAGUAGGAGUAAAUUGGUCAAAAACUUUAAAAUUAAUUAGUUGGGGCAAAUUAGUCCAUUCAUUUUAUAUUAUCAUGUGGGAGUAGGGUUAUAUAAUUAUAAGAGUAUAAAUUUAUAUUUUUUGUAAGAGUUAAUUAGUCUAAAAUUUGAUCGUCCUAUUUGUUAGUUAUCCUAGGAUAACUAAUAUCACCUCCCCCAUUUGAUUAUUUUAUCCCAUAAAUAGGGGAUUAAUUCAGUUAAGUAAGAUGUGUCAUCCUAUAUAUAAAAUGUAAUCAAACAUGAGAUAACACGGGAUAAUUAAUCUAAUCCUGUAUCAUCCUAUGAACCAAACAAGUCCUUAGUACUUUGAUAACUUCAAGGACUCUGGUCGAAUUUUAUAUUUGGACACAAUUGACCCCAUAAAAAUAAAAUCUAUACUCGAUGCAAAUGUGCCCUUAGAAUUUGUAAAAUUGUGUGACUUUGCCAUCAUAGGAAAAUAUUGAUAAGAUGGGCAACAUUGGAACAAUUUUUGAGUUCUCAAGGGAAAAAAAUAACACUUGAGGUUAUUAAUGGACAUGAAAUGAUAAUCUGGAUUGCAUUUUUCUGAAUUUUUUGUAGAAAAAUUACUAUAACGAUUUGAUAAAUGUGAAGUAAAAAGAUGAUUGAAAAAUGUGUUCAGAAAAACAUAACAAAUUUUCUUUCCAAAAAUUGCUUUCCAAACAAGACUUAAAGGCAUUUAUUGAAGGAAAAAUUUCACCAACGAUUUUGUGUAGCGAUUGGAUAAUUGACAUAUUUAGAAGAAGCAAUCCUACAAAUACGCAAACAAUUAUCCAUACAUACAAUAUAUAUAUAAGGAGAGAACAGGGUUGGUGUAAAUUUUUUCUGUUACUUUUUGUAAAUCCUAUUAAUAAAGGACAAAAUGGUAUUACCAUUUCCCAAAAAUAAACACACACACACACACACACACACACAUAUAUAUAUAUAUAUAUAUAUCUCCCAUUUUUUAAGUCUAAAAAAACUUCUAAUUUUGUAAUAAUGGCCAAUAACAUUUUAUCAAAAAAAGAAAUAAAAAAACAAAUUAUUUUCAUUCAUAUAUCUAAAUAAAUCCUCAAUAACUACCAAAAACUUUAUUAACUUUCUCUCUAUAAAUGGACUUAUUUUAAAUGUGUACACACAUAGAAUGUGCCCUUGUCACUAGUUCAGCAUAAUACUUUGCAUGAGGAUAUGCAUGUUUUCAGUUGAAAUGUCAUAAAUGAAUGGCUAUUGAAUAGGGAUAUUAAUUAGUUAUUUGCUAUUUAAGAUACACAAAUUGCUACUAUUGUAUCUACUAUUCUAUUUAUUUCUUUGGCAUUGUUUGAUAACUCAUUUCAACACUUAAACUUAAUAUAUUAUCUUAACAUAUUCAAACAUGUUUCAUAACAAAAAAAAAAAGAACAUUUUAAUUAAUUAAGUGGUUCUGAAUUGUGUAGACAAAACUUGUGACGCCCCCACUUCUCCCUAGGGCGAACCCUAAGAUAUCCGCAGAACGCCUGUCCAACUCUCGCCGGGAUUCACUACAAUCUAUAAUUCAAAACUAGAAAUACUUCAAAUAAUUUCAAUAUAUAUAUAUUUCAAGUACUCCAAAACACUUCAUACUUACAAUUAGUUAGCUUUCAAAUUUAAUACAACUCAAAAGAGUAUAUACUACAAGUCUACAACCAUCUGUUAUAAUACAACUUAAAGUUUCCAAAAGGAAACAACUUAAUACUAUUCACAGGCACUUUCGAUCUUGAAUCCUGUUAAGGAAAACAAAAACAUGGAAUGAGCUACACAGCCCAAUGAGAUUCCAAGACACUCUAGCAGUUCUAAUAAAUCAAGUACUUUGAGCAUAACACAUGUAUGGUUCAAGAUUGCACGUUGGCACAUUAAUAUGAAACAAUUAUCAUUAUACAGAAAUAAACACAUAUUGAAGGAUACGGUGUUCCAAUGGAACCAUUUCGAUCAACUUCACCUUAUAACUUCAGAUCCCCUCGAUUUGUCUAACCAUCACCUUAUCCCUCCAGUGGUAAUACUCGAGUAUAUCGAAAUGGUGGCCCAGGGUUCCAACCUACCCGACUGAGCCUAGUCCUGGCUCUAGCAAAUUAGUAACCAAGGGCAAGACCCAAUUCAGUUUAGAGUUUACAACAUGCACAAGUAAGCAAGUAAAUCGGUAAACGGUAAAUAAUCACGGUUAACGUUAAAAAUUUAUAAUUUUUGUAGGUCGAGUGAGAUAAAAUACACACUCACCUUAAAACGAUGAGCAAUUUCAUAUGAACAAUUAUCAGUAACACUUAACACUUAAACACGUAAGCAAUAUGCGAUAGUUUCAUAUGCACAUGUAAUUUACGGUAAUCAAGUAGUCAAGUAAUCAAGUAAACAGGUACUCAAGUAAAUCGAUUAACGGUAAGUAAUUACGGUAAACGGUAGUAGUUCACGGUUAAUCAGUAGACAUUUAUCAUUUUAGUAGGUCGAGUGAGAUAAAAUACACAUUCGCCUUAAAACAGUGAAAAAGUUCAUAGGAGCAAUUAUCGGUAAUACUUAACCGUUAAAACACAUAAUGACCAUGGAGUGAACAUGUCGUAAAACUAUUCAAGUCACGUACUCCUAUAUGGAACACUCAAUUCAGAAUAAAUGAGUAAAGAAAGUCGUCAAUGAUCCACUUGGGGAUUCUCUUCGAGACCUUCUUGAUCGUCUGAAGAAAAGUGACCAAUAACCACCCUCGCAAUUUCACAAAUUCCUUAUCAAACAAGAAAGAAUGCACACUUGCUUUAGAAUUCAAGUCAAUGUCUUUAUAAGAGCUUUAUUUUAUCAAAAGUUAAUAUUCAAAAGUGUGGAUUUUAAAAUUACUGAGGAAACUCAUAUCCUCCACGAAAUCGGGUUCAAAACGAUAGAUUAAUAUCAAAAUAAGAAGUCAAGCUUCCAAAAUUUCAUUUUUUAAGAAUUUGGCAAAUUUCAGCUUUGUGCGUCAAAUUUAGAAAAAUCAUAUCUUACACUCAGUAGGUCCAAAAAUGAAAAAUUUGAUACCGUUGAAAACCAAAUCCAAGAUACUAAAAGUUUCUAGAAAACAUUUUUCCAAGUUUCUAAAUAGAAAGCAUUUAUUUUCCAGCUUAAAGUUUCAGUUUUGAACAAGCAAGGCAGAAUCAGUCUUGUUUUUUGACAAUCUUUGAAAAUUCGGCAUAAUUUAUAAAAAGUGAACUAGCCUUUGAAAUUUGUAACACAAUAAGAGUUCCAAUCAAGGUUUCAAACACAAUAAACAGAACUAGAAUCGGCGUUUUGAACGCCAAGAUAUAAUAGCUCAAAGUUGGUUAAAAAUAAGGACCAUUAGGUCCAUUUUCCAGAUUUGGAAGGCUAUCUUUGAAGUAUCAUUUGGCUAUCGAUUUGGCAUUGGAAAUACACCAAACCUGGUGCACUAAAUCUUCUAUGGGUGGACAACAUUUCUACUAAGUUCCACGUAAAAACUCCCAUGGAAAGGCAGUCAUUAAAACAACUAAAGUUCAAGAAAUAUCCCAAGGCUAAUCUGCCUUCUUGCUUCCUUUUUCUUUUCAAACAUUUUGCCCAAUGAAAUCAACUCAAAUCUAGCUCAUUUAUGAAAAAAAAAAGUCCGAGAAACAUCGAAUAUAUAUUUGAUAGGUGAUUGACAUCAAAAUCUCAAAAUAAAACCUCUCAUAAGUAACCAAACCAAUCAGCCAGCAUGAAAAGAGGGUUUUCCAGAUUUGCUGCAGUUUAGGACUUGGACCAUAACUCACUCAAUACAGAUUGGAAUUGGGAAUGGUUGGUGGAGUUGAAAACUAGAUUCAAAAUUAUACAAUUCAUCAAAAUAACUCAUUUUGAAAUUCAGUUGGCAAGUGAGAGAAAAUAGAGCCACAAUUUGCAGCUUGUAGCUUUCCCUCGGUUAGACAGUGAAACAAGACAGCAAACUUUGCUCAAUCACUACAGAUGACUCGAUUUGAAUUAGAAGGUCCAUGAUACAUCAUUAGAAAACUACAGAUGUCUAGUUUUAAAUUCCAUAGACAGCACUUGAUUUCAAUGUUUGAGCAGAGAGUUAUGUUCAUUCAAAAAUUACUGCCAUAGGACCACUGCUCUGCGAUUUUUCAGUUUUGUUUUUGCCAAAACUCACAUUUUGCUCAACCAAAUCAAGUGAUUUUCGGUGCAAACUUUCCAUACAUCCUAUACAACAUAUCUAUAUCAGUUUCAAGGUCAUUUGAGUAUCAAAAUUUUGAGCCUCAAAAUUUUGAGCCAAAGCUUCGAGAAAAACAGGGCAGAUUCGGUCAGAUUUUUUCCAUGCAAUUCUUUCGAUUUUCCUUUCACUUUUCCAACUAAUCUCAUCUUGUUUAUCAUAAAAUUAACACAAACAACACUUAUCAUCAUUAUAUCAGUCCUAUAUCAUCAAGGUGGGAUUUCAUAGAGCCCACUCCAACCAUUUAAAUCCAAAUAACAAUAUCAAUAAUGAAGUUACGAGCUUCAUAGCCAAGAUCGAAUCCAUUUAAAGCUAAGAAUGAAAGAUUGGAUAGUUAUACCUCUUAGAUGAUGAAAAAUCAGAAAUUUUGGGUCACCAAAAGCUCCAAGAAACUCGGCUAGAAGACCUCCUCCUCCAAGUCAAGAUGAAUCUCCAAGUAGUUAGAAGUUGGAUGGUGUUUUUGAGUGCAAGAUUGGAGCAAAAUUGGUGCAAGAAUGGAAGUGAAAUUGGAAAGGUUUCUCUUCUUCUUCCUCCUUGGAGUUUCAGCCAGCCUUGAGUGAAAAGAGAGAGAGAGAGAGUGAAAUCUGAUAUCUAAAGCUUCUUAAAGAAGCUUGGAAACUUGGGGCCAAAGUUUGGGAAAAGUAAACUACCACUAGUGUCGCGCGCACGCGUUUCCGGUCCGAUUUCUCUCGGAUUUGUUUCACUUGUGUACUAAAUCUCAAAUGUACUUCCUUUAACAUUAUAAUUAUUCACUGUUAGUAGUCUAGUAUAAAUUUCUGAAGUCUCCGUUUAACCAUUCCAACUCGAUAUACGCGAAAUUCCAAUUCGCGCACAAUAAGGUGAAGUUUACGGGAAAUUCAUAUAACGAUUAUAUAAUUAACUACUACUAAUAUAAUUAAUUAUAAAAUAACCAUUUUAGAAAUAAAACAUGAGUCCUCAAAUCUCCAAGAUUAUUAUACUCUCGGAUCGAUUAUUGUCUCGAAAAAUGUGUACUCGUUAUUUUUCACUAAACGAGCCCUAGCAAAUUAAAUUUACUAACGAGACAUUUUAAAAAUAUAAUUGAGACUUUAUUCCAUAUAAAUGGAUUUAAAAUGGUUGAAAUAAAUUAUUCGGAAAAAACGGGUGAAUAAAUAAUUAAUUAAGCCAUUAAAAUAAGAUUAAAAAUAAGUAAAAAAAAAUUCGGCUCCUCAUAAAACUUACUCUAAAAUAUAAGUUAUAAAUUGUUCAUUUAUUACUUAAUGCAGAAUAUGUUUAAAUGUUAGGAUUUCAGUAUUCAACAAUUCAACAAUUUAAUGAAUUCAAAUUUCAAGGCUUUAGAUUUCAAACUUCAAAUUUUAUUUUUAUCAAAUAAACUUCGAUUAUUGAUUUUUUUUAAUGUGUUCAUAAAGACGGGGUCUCUAAAAAAGAAAGUGUGGCACCUAACAUGGCAUGGCUGAUCCAACAAUUUCUUAUUUGGGGUCCUCAUCAGAUGAAUCUAAUUGGGAAAAGAGUCCCAAUGGCCCUCCAACUCUUUCUGUGACACUUCUGUCAAAUUCAGAGGUUAAAAUUGACGGGAAGCAUCAUCUCGUGCCACGGGCAACCAAAUAUCAAGGGCAUUAUGGUCUCUUUCUCACGGAACUUUGACCUGAGCUGGAGAUGACAGUUUUUAAAGUGGUAGUAUUCUUAGUCCCAUGGUCAAAACUUGGGAAAGAUCCAUCAUCAAUGUCAACCCCGUCGGAGAGUACGAAAACAUUGAUGGGAUCGUAAAAGAACUUGAUUUUCUUAUUGGGGUUGCGGGCAAUGAGCGUGAAGUUGAAUUUGGAGUUGACCCCGGUGGAGGUGAGGUUGAAGUGGGACAGUUGAAGGGGGGAGAUGCUAAAGUUGAAGCGAUGGGCACGGUAGAUAACCCAGAAGACGGCCCUGGCUACGGCGACGAGGACAAGGAUGAAGAUGAUGAAGAGGGUUGUCCAGAGGCAGCAGGAACAGCAGCAGCUGCAGUUGUGGUGACGCUUGCUGAGUGAUUGGGGACGGUAGAUAGGGCACGUGGUGUUAUUAUAGAGCUUGCCUUUGGUGGGUGGAAAUGUUGAGUUUGCAACUGCAGCGGUGGUAGUGAUGCCGUUGGCAGCAGGAUUGGCUGCCGGGUAUACUCUAUCUGCCAUCGUUUUGGUUUAACACUAUGUUGUUCCGGUCCCUCCCUCCCUCUCUCUCUCUCUCUCUCUCUCUCUCUCUCUCUCUCUCUCUCUCUCUCUCUCUCUCUCUCUCUCUCUCUCUCUCUCUCUCUCUCUCUCUCUCUUUCUAUUGGCUGUUGAACUGUAUUUGCAAUAGGAUUGCAGCUGGUGCAUUCUUUAACCUUGCUUCAGUUGAAGAAUACCGGCAACUAAAUGGGGAGAUUCCAGAUGCAAUUCCUUCUCUAGUGGAGCUCCUCAGGGAUGGGACAGAUCGUAGCAAAAAGAAUGCACUUCUCACGAUAUUCGGCCUCCUCCUAUGUCUUGAGGACCACAGGAGAGUGUUUGCUGCUGGAUUAGUCCCAUUGCUGAAGCAAGAGCAACGGCAGCAGUGGUGGUGACACAGGUGGUGGGGUGGUGGAGGGGUCACUGGGGUGGAGGUGCUUGGUAAAUCAUUCAGAGACUAUAAUACCUUUGAUAUUUGGUCGCGCAUUUCACGAGAUGAUGCUUUCUGUUAAUUUUAAUCGCUGGAUUUGACAGAAGGGUCUCGAAUAUACUAUUUUAUUAGAUCGAGAGCCAAAUCUUUAUUGUUAAUUAUUGGAGGGCUAAAACUUUACCUGUGAAUGAGUUGGAGGGCCAUUGGGAAUCCUUUCCCAAUCUAAUUCUUUAUCUGAGUGAUAAAAAUUUGUUUGAAGAGUUUUUCCUAACUUUUGAAACUUUGAUUUAGUUUCCUUUCAAUUUUAGUUACGAAAAUAACCCACAUGUGUUCGUUCUCUUGAAAAACCUUUUCUUUUUAAAAGCUCCAAGUCAAAGUAAACUAAUUCUUUCAUACGGCACUUUUUUUUUGGGGGUUAGAGAAAGAAACCAAAAAAAAAAAAUCAAUUUGAAGAAAAAGAAGACAUUGUUUGGAUAAUGAACUUAUCCCAAAUAAUAUUUCGUUUGCAUUAUAAACAUAUUUUUCAACCCAUCUUUUUAUAUUCUCAAUCACCUUUUUAUCUCACAUACAUCACAUUACAAAAAGUGUUACAGUAAUUAUUCCAAAUAAUAUUUUAAAUAAUACCCUAUCCAAACAAAUUGGUGGAGCUCUAAUUAAAGGUCUCUAUCGGAAAGGAAGACCUAAAAUAGUCCACUCAGUCCCAACUACAGCCAUAGGUUCAUUAUCAUCAUCCAAAGUACGCAGUAGUAGUAGUAUAGUAUAACUGGGGAAGGCUAUUAAGGUGUAGGGACAAAGGAAAAAAAUCUCCUGACGAGAAAGGGAAGGAUGGACAAAUAUCAGUCAUGAGUAGUAUGAACAUUUUUUUUUUUAAAUUAUACUACAUUUAUACCAAUUUUGCUAUUAAAUUUAUCAAAAUUUUGUACAUUAACUUUUUAUGCACUCACACUGUAAUGGUAGUAUUUUUUUUUUUUUUACACUAACAACUUUAAAUAUAUGCUACACAUGUACAUAAUUUGAAUUUCAAAUCUAAAUUCGUAUUAUGUAACAUGAUAUAAACCUACUAAUAUAUAAAAAAUAAUAAUUCUACACUGACAGUGUCUAAAAAAGUUUUCCAAAUUUUAUUACCUUAUUACAUUUGUAUGUGCAUCUACAAAGUUAGGCUACAUGUUGCUGUCAUUUUAUAAAUAACUAAGAAGAUAAGUCAUCGUCCUUAUUGAAAUUUUAAUUUUUUUUUUCAAAAAUUGAUGUAUAAUUUGUGAAGAAGACGUCAAAAAAUUAUUACGUGUUUCAUAAAAUUAAUUAAAAAAAAUAUGAGUAAUUUUCAAAAUAUUCACUACAUUGAUUCAUUUACUUGGUUUGGCAUAUGCCCUCUUUAUAGGUUCCAGAGAUUCACAAUGGAGUUUGGUACUGCUUUCAGGGGUCAGUCAGCAACAUGCCGAGACACAACUAUGGCACAAGAUUUUGAGUUUGGUAGCCAAAAACCAGUCCAUGAGAUUUGCAUUACAUAAGUCAGUAAUCUGUGAGAUACUGAGACAGCAUCAAAAUAAACCAAAAACUGUGUCCACAAGAUGCUUAUUAGAGAAAACUAAAUUCCAGAACAGGAUAGUCUAGUUCCAGGUUGCAUUACAUCGAAGAGUUUCGAACAGAAUUUCACGGAUUAAUAAUGACACAAUCUCAUCAGCCUCAGCAACCUGUUAGAACACUGAACAAACACCAUUAGAUACAUUGAAGUGAAAAAGAUAAAUAAAGAAAAAGAGAAGAAAAAGUCACCACAAUAAAUAGUAGAAGAACUAGAAACUGGUUUUCCUAUUAAUUUUUUUGUUCCCAAAAAAAAAAAAGACAUGCAAACAACAAUAACCGACUAAGAAGACCACAAAUUUCCUUACUAAUAUUCUCCUUUCAAGGUUAAACAUGGAUCAACAUUCAUGUGGAAGAUCUGUGCUUAGAAAUGGUGAAUACAAGACAAACACGACAUAUAAUCUACUUCCCAGUGCUGCUCUGGACAUAGUAGUAUCAUCACAACUCUACAUAAUCUUCUUCCCGUUUUGAAUAAAAUAGGGUUCUCAACGAUUAUCUCUAACGCAAAUUAGACCAGUAAAUUCCAUUUUCCUCUUCCCGGUCCAAGAACUUCCACAAGAAAAAGGCUUCAAACCUCCAAAAAUGUCUAUGGUGAACAAAUUCCUGCUAGAUGACAAUUAAAGACAAAAUUUGCCAUCCUAAACACAGGAAUUGUUCAACACAAACACGUGCAAUUUGCCGUAACACAGUGGAAAGGUGACUUUCAGGCAGCUAAUUUGUUAGUGUCACCAGAUUGACAAGCACAGUGCAGCUUAUACCCAUUAUGGCAUUACCAAUGACUUUCGCCCUGACAAAAUUACACAUAGCCAAUUACUAAAUUCUUCGAAAAUCUUUUGCAUUGCUCAGGCUUCCAAGAAAUAUAGAUAAUGAGAUAUAGCCAGAAAUUUCAAUCACGUAUUAAAGCUCACUUCUUUCUUCCUUUCUACAUGGCUCAUGAGAAUCAAAUCCCUACGCCAUCGAACUGAUCACGAAAAAGUUAAUGUAUCUUAGGCACCAAAUAUUCCCCUAAUCUCAACACACAUUUAUUUAUUUCUACAACCAAGCCCACAAAAACUUUGGUUUUAAGAGGACAGAAAGCAAACUCCUACAAAAACAGUUUCAAGAUUAUAAUUGUGUUUGAAGUUAUUGAUGACAAGAAUGAUGAAUCCAGCUACAGCUUUGCUGAAUAACGUCAUCAGAAAAACCUUUUCAAACAGGCUUGAGUAUCAUUCUUCAACACAUGUAUGAAUGCCAAACCAGUAACUUGCCAACUUGCACUCACAGCAGUUUUGUUACCAGCGAUUAGCCAGUAGGAUUUCAGACUUCAAUACAGGAUAAGAGCUACUAAAACACAAUGCAAUGAAAGUUGCUAAUAAGCAACUGUUAAGAAUUGAACUUUCUUCCAACCUCGAAAGGAAAAGACAUCAGAAACUAUAAUAGUUAACAACUGUUAUUUGCCUACAUCUCUUUCUGCCCCCAACUCAAGCAUACUUCCCAUUCAACUGAUGUUCAAACUCAAUAAAAAACCAGAUCCCAAGGACUACAGCUUAUUUUUAAAUAUGAGUAUUAUCCUCAGCUAUCUUUUUUCAGGGAAAGCUGUUUAGCCAGAUUCUUUCCCGGCUGGGGAUACAAUGUUCCUCUACAUGCCCCUUGGAAGAGAACUUUUGGUUACAAGCCUCAAUAGGCUACAACUGUUUUCCAGCUUAGCUCCACUAAAUGGAUAAUUUCCUUUUUUUUUUUUUCCAAGUCCUUUUACCCAGCAUCAACUCAAAAACGAGGCUCAUUGAAGCAAUGAAAGCUGUAACUGGCCAAAUCCUGCUGGUAUUGACCAGAACCAAUUACUAAAGCACCCCAAAUUCCAUGGUUUUUUGUUCAUGUGAGCAGUUGCACUUUAUAACCAGCUUGUCACAUAUCACAGUCUACUCACUCAUAAAAAGCAGCCACAGAACACAACUGCUCCUAAUUAAAAAAAACAAAAAGAAGACAUCCAUUUAGCUUGAUGAUUUGAUAGGGUUUUGAUUGAUGCUUUGACAUAAUUUCGUGAACUAAUAGCACAAAUGAAAUACCCUAGACAGAAACCUCAUGUAUGGCAGGAGAAAUAAGUGGCUAAAUGUGAAAAUCAUUUAUUAUCUAGUAAAAAGGCACUACAUUUGCAAUCUUUUCCAUUACAACAGAACAAUUAGAUUCAAUACUUCUGACGUACAAAAUUAUCAAAAUUUAGUCAGUGGAAAAUAAAACUAAUCAUGCCGUUACAGUUAGCGCAUCUAGAAACAACUUUGGGAGUAAGAUGUGGUAUCAAUGAACAUUCAAAGGUAGCAAAAAGCUAAUCACAGAUUCACACAAAGCAAAGGAACUAAAAAGUUCUCUCACUGAGAUGUAUGAGCUGCAACAGAGCAAAGACAUCCUGUGGCAAGUUUGUAUACAUUGUCUUUAAAGUGGUACAUAUCCCUUGCCCUCCAACCGACUGAUGAUUGCAAAACUAUGGCAUCCCUAAAUAUUGAAAUUAACCUUAUGCCUAUUAUUUUGUGGUUUAGGAACUAUUUAACUUCGUCCAUUGAAUAGAACAGGAAUGCUCUCAGUUUCAGAAAAGGUUUACCUUGAUUCAAACCUUCACAGUAGCCCUGCAUAAGUAAAUUCUAAGACCAAUAGAACUACAUAUGAUCAUCUCCUAUAAACUAAAUCAUCUUGAAUAAAAAAUCUAAAAAGUGAAAACCGUGAAAUAUGUGAUCUAACCACCACAUGUUGCACUUUAACUGAUAAUCAACAAACUUCUUGGCUGUCUCUUGACUGGGUCCCCCAUUUGCAGAAUCCUUCAUUUCAACCAAAAAGAGGACCUUGAGCGUCCAACUUAUUUUGGAUGGCCAAAAACAUGGGGAGGCAGGCACCAGUGCCUUUUGGUCCAUCCUCCUCCCCAACUCUACCACAAGACCCAACCUGAAUCUGAAAAACAGCCAGUACCCCAGGACAGAACUCUGAUGCAGAAUUCUAUACCUCAAAUUAUCAAAUAAAACCUACAACCUUAAACAGGACCUAAAGCUUCCUUGAUGUAAGUGAGAAAAAUCCACAAGUGCAAGAGAUAAUAUUUCAUGCAUUAUGUAAUCAAUAUUUUCUUUCGGGUCAAAUAUAUUUAGCAGAGAAAACUUAUUGCUUCAUCCAUCAAAUGCAUAAUCAGUUCAAUGAACAUCCAACUCCAGACCAAGUCUAUUACUAUUAAGGUGAAAAUAAAUGAAAAUCCUUAUAUGUUAAAUCACUCCAAUCCCGUGUUUCCAUCAAAUGCUAAAUCAUUCCAACCAUUAGCCAAAAGUACAUAAUAAGUUCACCAACAAACCUUUAAAAAAAUGAAAGAAAGACAAACACAUCCUAAACAACCAGUCAAACAUUUAAGCAAGCAUUAAGCCAUUUGCCAUUUGAAACACCAUACACACUGCAUGACAAACCACCCAGCUCAAAAAUAAAGAACUGGAAAAGAAAAACCACUACUCAAAGCCUCAUACAUGCUAAAACAUCUAUUAUAACCAACAGAAAAUUUAGCUGAUAGGUCAUAUUGGAAUAAGAAAUGCAAAACAAAAUUUCACAACUUCUGCGAAAAAACUACAAGCACAAUGUUGGAAAUAAUGUGUUCAACGCAUAUAAAUCUCAAUAUCCACAGACAGACUUUAAAAGAAUCCAAACACACAAAGGAGAAUUGCCAAUGCAAAUCAACAAACUGGAGCAGAACACCAACCAACAAGGUAAGGUACAAAAGAAGGAUAUAAGCUUUAUCACAAAGAACCACUUAAAUGAGCAAUGCAACACUAACAGAUACAGAAACUCACUAAGAAACUCAUAAACUUGAAUUAAACCACAUUCAAUUAAAGAAAAUGUAAAUAAUCAAUUACAAAACUAAAACAAGAAAAAUCCUUGAUUAAUAAUUCUCAAUAGCAGACCAAAACUGCCAUUAAAUUGUCUAUUAUACGAGUCAUUAGCUCAUAAAUUGCAAGCACUUCAACCAAAAAUUACAUUUCUAUACCAAAAAUUCCAUUCAGAAAUAACCUAAAACAUUUUUUUUUAAGAAAAAAAAGAAAGUUUGCAACAACAAAACAUAGAGAUUAUCAAUCCUAACGACUGUCAAUUAAAAAACUAAAGCAAACCCACUUAACAAAACCUAUUCAACAGUAACCCAAGAAAACAAAUAUUAAUUUACCUUCCCUACGAUUAAACCAAAUAAAAUUGACACCCAGAAAAAUGUCAAAACAAUCUCAAAAAAAAGGGUAAAAUCAUCCAAUAUAAAACUCAAAGAAAAAAAAUAUAAAAGAAUUACCUUUAGAUCAAGCAUUGGCAGUUUUAGGUAUAAGAGGAAUAGGCUGCUGCGCUGGGGAGCCUUGUUUUUGUUUGGCUUCGGCUUCCCGGAUCUUCUGCAUCUGGAGCAUCCGUUCCAUGACAAGCUCGUACUCGCACUUCUCAUAGGAGUGGCGUUGGUCCUCACACUUCCAAGGAAGAUAGAACUCCGCCUGCCUGCACUUGUUCAGUGGGAUCAGCAAAUGGGCACAUUGGUCUCUGUAAGGGAUUGGGACUUUGGCUUCCACCAUUUCUUCUUGGGUUGCUAUCAUCUUCUUUGAUGACCCUGGCACCUCCAUUUCUACGGUCUCUGCUGAUCGAUUGCUUGAUUUUCUAGGUAUGCUAUGGCAGUGUAAUUGGGAGGUUCGGGAGGUGUUGUGGGGAAACUCUGUGCUCCUUUGACGGGCUGCAAGCUUGGAAAGUUUAGGCUUAAUGCGGUUUGACCCCUGUAAUUAGGGGUUGCUUGCGUUUUGUCGCCCAAGAUUGAGUUUAUCUAUAGUGAAACGAGGAUUUGUUUUGGGAAGAUUAUUUGGAAAAACAUUUUUUGUAUUAUGUAGUGUAAUGUAAUACUUUGUGAUUUCUGAUGUGAUAUAUAUAUAUAUAUAUAUAUAUAUAUAUAUAUAUAAAAUAUGGGAUUGUGAGAUUUUUUUUUUUUUUUUUGCGAAUAAUGAUGCAUAAACAUAUAGUUUGUUUGGAUAUGACUAGGACUGAGCAUCAAAAUCAAAAUCGAUAAUUCGGCUGAUUGAAUUCAUUGAUUUCGGUAAUUUUUCUUGUGAGAUUCCAACCUAAUAGAAAACUUUUAGUUUCGAUUUCGCUUCAAUUCAAAAUUGGAAUUGAGUAGCGAAUACUAAAUUCAAAAAGAAUAAUGCAUUCUGUUAUAUAUUAUAAAGUGCAUCAUAACAUAAUAUAUUCUUAUGAUAACAUUUAGUUUUACAUAAAAUUGAAUGUAUAUAACAUUCUAAUAUGUAUUUUGCACAUGCUAUUUGCUUAUAUAUGGUAUUCAUGUAUAAUACAUAUAUGUCUAAAUUAUAUAUGUGUUGUUUAAUAUUUAAAUAUUUUUUCAAUUCAAAAUUAGUAAAAUCCGGCUUCAAGAAACCAGUACCAUUUUCAUAUCUAUUUCAAAAUACAUGAAUUCGAUAUCUUUCGCAUCCUUCUAAAUUUAUGAAUUACGAAUUCUGAAUUUUUGAAUUCAUUUCAAAAUUGAUUGGUAAUUUUUGGAUUUUUACACCCUUAAAUAUAACUUAGUAUUUGGGAAAUGUUGUCGAAUUUUCUAUGUUUACUUGCCUUAGGUUUGAAAAAAUAAUUUUGGGAAAAAAAUUUUAUAGUAAGAGCUUUUUAGUUUAAACAUAGAGUGCUUUCUCUCAAAAAAAAAAUAUUACUAUCCAAAAAACAAUGAUUUAUAUACUAUUAGAAAGUUUGGUAUAAUGAACUUGUAUGGAAUAAAACAAGAAAAAUGAGGUACUAGUAUUACCAUUUAACGUUGUUUUAACUACACUAUGCCUUCUAACUAGGAGGUUAUUCUACUUUGUCCAAACUUCGUGUAAUUUUUUCUUCCAACAUUUUCCUAAAAAGGGUUGCAAUGAGCGUGGUUUUGUGGAUUAUUUGAAGGUUGAGGUGGAAUAGCCGAAUAGGUGCCUUGAAACUCCAAAUUGUGAAGAAUUGUUUGCUUAUUCCUAAGGCUCAACGAAUCUUCAAAAAAAUGGAUUGUAGAUAAGCUUAUGUCUAAGCCCCUCCUGAGCAGCUCGUUUGGUAAUGACAGCCCCUUGGAAGUCGUUGUCCAGCUCCCCCAUCAGGGAUCGAGUCUCAGCGGUUAUCAUGUUCGGCGAGAAGGGGCCUCUCCUCCCGGGCCGGAAUGAGAUUAGUCGGAUCCCGUAAGAAUUGAUCCGAACACCCACUCCGUCAACAAAAAAAAAAAAAAGAUAAGCUUAUGUCUAAUGUACAUCAUAUUAUUAUUCAUGAAAAUACGCCAGCAGUUGAAAAGGAGAACCAAGAACUUGUUAUGUGUACUAUGUGGCUUCUCAUGCUGAUGAUGUUGAACAUGCUGGUUUAGAAAAUGCAUUGGUCAUACCAACAUGUUAGUUUCUCUUUUGUAAAGAUGAAGUGUUGAAUUCAGCUAUUGAAUUAUCUUUUGCAUAAUGCUAAUGAGAAAUAAAGUGGUAAUUUUGUUGAUAGAAGAAACAGGGUGGAGAAGUGGCUAAGGGAUCUCGUAGGGUUAAAAAAAAAAAAAAACUUCCUCUAUCUCCAUUACAUGAUGCUUCUUUUUUUUUUUUUGGAAUACUAGGGCCUUAAUGACCAUUGAACAAAACAUAGUUGGAAAAUAUGUUACAAAUAUAGUAAAAGCUCUAUAAAUUAAUAAACAUGGGACCAAACAAAUUCUAUUAAUUUAAGGAGGCAUUAAUUAAUUGAUAAAUUAAUAAUUUGUUAAUUUAUUGAGUAUACUUAUGGUUCAAAAAAAUUCAUUUAAUCAACUAAAGUUUUAUUCAUUUUAUUAAAAAAUAAAUUAUUCUAUUAAUAAAAGGAAUAAAAAAAUCUAAGAGAUAUAAACCAGUUCAUAUCUACUGAUUUGCAAAUAUAAUUUAAUUUUAUUAAUAUCUUUAAUGUACGUACAUAACUAAUAUCAUUUUCCUAUUAUUAAGAGGUUCAAACCAAAGGACUAUAAAUACUAAAUGAUGGAUGUCGAUUCUCUUUUUAUUAAAUACAUACAAUGAAUCAGAUUGCAAUAUUAUGUGUACAAAUGACAAGAAAUUCUUUUUCUAAUAAACAAACGCAAAGUCUUCUUAUUCCAUCUAAAAGGUAUUCAUAGGUCAACAAUAAACUCAUAUUUUUGGAAAAUAUGGUAUGCAAUAUUAAUGAAUUAUUAAUUUAUAAUAUAAAUGGGACCAAAUGGUAAUCUAAGAUUUUCAAAAAAAUUUAUUAUCUUCUUAUUUUAUUGAAACUAUUAAUUUGGAUCAUUAGCCAAAGUCGGGAACCAAAAAUUUUUAUUUAAUAGAGAUUAUUAAUUUAUAGAGGUUAUACUGUAUAAUAUUAAUACACACACACAUGGCUUGGUUGGAAAUAAUGUGCCAUGAUAAUGUUCAUAGAUUUUUUUGCAUCUUGUUUACCACAUUAGCAGCUUUUCCCUAAUGCUAGGAGUAUCAUUGGUGUUGGAGUAUUAUUUUGUUGGUAAGGGGCAAACGUGAGAUGUAUUUUGAUUUCGAUGUAUUUUGAUUUCUAUGCAUUGCAAUAUGUUACUUGUCAUGUGGAGUUUUAUUGCUGGAUUAAAUCUUUGCUUUAUUGUUUUGGUGUAUGGUGCUAAUAAACUAAAGAACGGAGAUCUCUAUGGCAUUAUUCAAGGUAGCUAACAGAUCGUCUCCAUCAUUUUUCAGGACUAAUUCUUGGCGACUUUAGUGAGAAGAUUGUUAUCUUGAUUUUGACUGUGCCCUCUAUAAUUGGAUUUAUAGUUUGCAUUGAUGACGUUGAUUUAGAGGAAAAGGCUUUUUCAACACUUGAUGCAAUAGAAAGGAUGUUGAUGAUGAAAAAGUAUAAAGAUUGAUUGAGAUUUUAUUAAUAGUUCAUGGUGUACUAGGGUUUUCCUCAAUGGAUUUAGAGUCUCUAGUUUCUAACCUCAACAACAUUACUAAAGAUUGAAGUCUUGAAGACAUUAGGCAGCUUUUGAUUAAAUCAUCAUGAUAUAAAUGACAACUAUCGUACUUAAUAGCAAAAUGCAUGUGUAGACAAUGGAAUUUUAAUUAAAUUCUAAAAAUUACCAUUGGUCUAUUAAAUAUUUUUCGUCCAAUCGGAUAUUGCCGUAUGUCAUGUACGCUUGGAAAAUUUGGUUAUUAAGCAGCCAAUUAUAUUUUGUCACGUGUCAAGGUGAGGUGUUCCAAAUCAAUUCAAAUUGCAGGGGUAUCUCCACCAAUCAAAUCAUAUCAUAUCAUGUAUUUAUUGGAUAAAUAUCUAAAUAUUUAUUUCUUAUUAAAGGGAUAAUAUUUAGAAUUGUUUAAUCCAAGUAUAUCUCUUAUAUACUGCAAUGGCCUGGCCAGUAAAAUGGCGCCACGUCAUGUGUCCCCACAAGUCUGGCCAAUCGGAAAAUUACUUAUCUCUUUAUUAAUGAAGAGAUAAUAUUUAACUGGCACAGUUCUAAUAUGACUGUACGUCUUGCUAGGUAAGUAGAGUGGUGUACAUGAUCUCAACCUCCACCUCUUGCUACAACUAUAAAUAGAGGUCUCUCAACCAAGUUAAAGACACACAGAGAUAUCAAGAAGCAUCUCAUACACUCAAGUAUUGAAGCUUCAAGCUACGAAGGUCUGGGUCUCAAAGCUCCUCAAGUCUUCCGCAUAUCAAGGCUUGAGCCUUCAAGUAUUUUCAAAUCCUUCAAAUCUUCCAUGUCAAGAUUUGAAGGAGUCGGUGGUUGAUCCAAGAACAAGCUGCGAAGCCCUUGGAUUGGUGUUCGAGGAGAAGAAUCGAAGGAAGCUCUCCAUAAGUUCGAGAAACUUCCAGAGAUUGUACCUACAUAUUUUUCUAAGUUUAUAUAGUACAUAUUUGUCGUGUAUUUCUUUUUCUUGCCGUUUUGCAGACUUGAAAUUUUUAUCGCGUACAAAUUUUUGGCACGCCCGGUGGGACCAUCUCUGCCUUCCAUCUCUUCUUCUCGAAUACUCAACUAUCAUCAAUGGCACCAAAGAGCAACAAAAUCAUGAUUGCACGUUCCAAGGCUGCUGAUGCUGAGCCUGUUCAGGAAGCUGCACACGUUGCCACCAAUACCCGCGUUAUUGGCCCCGUGACAAGGAGUAUGACGAGGGCCUCCACCCAAAGUAGCAUGGAACCCUCGGCGCCAACUCCCGUUUUCGGGCCAACAUCACAAAUGAGCUAUUCCUCCACGAUGGAGGUCCAAGACGUUUUCACCUCGAUUGAAAAGACUCUUGUCAUGCUCGAAUUUGGAUCCGAACCCAAAUUUUAUAAGCAUGACGAUGAUUCAUCAAACACUGGAUCAGCCUCUUCACAUGAAACUCUUCAUUCAAAAUUUUGUAUUGAAGAUUCUGCUGCUUCUUCUGCUGCAAUGCCUGCCAUGAUGACAAAUACUUUGAGUCUCGAAGAACAAGUUUCGAACAUGUCCAAGAUGAUGGAAACCAUGAUGAAACACAUCAAGGACCAAGAUGCUCUUAUCGCUCAACUGCUCACCCAAAAGGACCACGCUCCUGAAGGAAACCAUAUGAAUUCUAAGGAGAACCAAGAGCGUGAAAACCUCUCAUCUAAAGGUAAAGACAAGGUGAAAGAAGUACACGUGACCGCCGAGGGAACUAUCCCCGUAGAACAGUUGAAGGAACUUGUUGAAGGCGUGAUCAAGGACAAAAAUGGGGGUAGUUCAAGAUCGAGUUUUACCUACUCCAAACCUUACACUGCUAGAAUUGACAAUCUAGCAAUGCCUGCUGGAUAUCAACCGCCCAAGUUUCAACAGUUUGAUGGGAAAGGCAGUCCAAAACAACAUGUGGCCCAUUUUGUCGAAACCUGCAAUAACGCUGGAACCUAUGGUGACCUGCUAGUCAAACAGUUCGUCCGAUCCUUGAAGGGCAACGCGUUUGAUUGGUACACUGAUAUCACUCCGGGGUCCAUCGACAGUUGGGAACAGUUGGAACAAGAGUUCUUGAAUCGCUUCUACAGCACUAGAAGAACCGUCAGUAUGCUGGAGUUGACUAACACUCGUCAAUGGAAGGAUGAACCUGUGGUCAACUACAUUGAUAGGUGGAGAAGUCUGAGUCUCAACUGCAAGGACAGACUGUCUGAACCCUCUGCCAUAGAAAUGUGCAUUCGAGGAAUGCAUUGGAGCCUAAGUUACAUUUUGCAGGGUAUACGCCCAAACACAUUUGAAGAAUUAGCUACUCGUGCUCAUGACAUGGAGUUAAGCAUCACAGCCAAUGCAACUGAUGGGCUUCCUAUUCAAAUUCCGCGAGUACAGCCACCUCGGCAAAACAAUGAAAGACAAGAAAAUAGAAAAGGGGGCAAGCCUCCUUCAAGAUUCAAUAAUAAGGAGUCCAUGGCAAUAAACACAGCUCCCAUGAAAAUUGCCACCAAAGUGAGUCGAAAGAUCACUGAGAAAUUAGAUUCCUCCCAGAAUAGAUCAGUAAGAAGACCCACUUUAAAAGAGAUGCAAGAAAGGGAGUACCCUUUCCUUGACUCCGACUUACAAGGAAUGUUUGAUGAUCUUUUCAAGGAGAAGCUCCUUGAACUUCCCGACAUGAAGAGUCCGGAGGAAGCCGGUCAAGUCAAUGAUCCGAAUUAUUGCUGUUAUCACCGCUUGGUUGGUCACCCUCUCACUAAAUGCUUUGUUUUUAAGGACAAAAUUAUGGAAUUAGCCCGCCAAGGAAAAAUCCUUCUUGAGGAGGAUAAAGCGUCGGCAAACCAAACAACAAUAAUGUUUGGGUCUGUGUGUUGUCCGAUAGAAGUUUUAUCCACAACAAGCAGCGCUUUGUCCAAGGAGCUUGAAAAAUCCUCAAUUGAAAAUGUUAUUGAAGAUGACAAUGAAGGAUGGACUUUAGUCACUCGGAAGAAGACUUGCAAGCCAAGAAUAAAGAAGUACAUCUUUUCGAAAAGCAUUCAUUCGACAAAGUCAAAAGUAACGAUGAAACGAUAAAAUGCAACAAAGAAACAAAAGAGAGUGGCCAUAAAACCAAUUCCUUCAGAUUUUCAGCGCCUUCAAGAGGUUCGGCAGCCCGUGACACUGAGAGAAUUUAUACCCAAGGGGUAUUUAAGUGACGAUACCGAUGAUCUCAUUUCUUGUAAUGUCGUCAAAGCUGAAAAUCCUCAAGUCACACAAAUUGGCACUGAAUUUGAGAAAAAACUCAAAGUCGAUGAUAAACCACCGGUGGAUUGUGCAACGACCAUCAUUUUUGAUGAUGAUGAUUUAACUGUUGAGUUCAAGACCCACAAUCGACCUUUGUUUGUUAGUGCAUAUGUUCGAGAACAAAAGAUGAGUCGGGUACUCAUUGAUGGGGGAUCUGCUGUCAAUAUCAUGUCCGUACGUGCUAUGAAAGAGUUAGGAAUCUCAAGUGAUGAACUCUCCCAAAGCCGCCUCAUGAUCCAAGGAUUUAAUCAAGGGGGGCAAAGAGCAAUUGGCCUCAUAAGGCUUGAAUUGCUCAUUGGUGAGUUGUCUUCAAGUGCGUUAUUUCAUAUCAUUGAAGCCAAAACCUCUUAUAACAUGCUCUUGGGAAGACCCUGGAUUCACGAGAAUGAAAUUAUACCGUCUACUCUGCAUCAAUGUUUCAAAUAUUGUCGAGACGGUAUUGUUAAGAAAGUUACUGCCGAUGACAAACCUUUCACGGAAGCCGAAACUCACUUUGCUGAUGCCAAAUUUUAUCUUCACAAAGAAGCAAAAAGAAAGAAAUCGGUAAGGGAAGAAAGUCAAGAUUCCAAAGUACCCAUUUUGCGGUAUACUCCAAGAUCAAAGAGAGAAGAAGGUCAGUCUUCUUUUAUCAGAAAUGACACAUUAAAUGUUUCGCUCACCAAGAUAGAGCCUGUUAAAAUUGAGAAGGUGAGCUUGCAAGGGUUUGUUCGUCCCAAAGAAGAACCGGCAGUGGAACAUCACUCGCUACCAACUAAUCGGACUCAAGAAGGUUUUGAUCCAAACGCCUAUAGACUUCUUGCUAAGGCGGGUUAUAACCCAAAUGAGAAAAAUACAUUGGGCAAACUCCCUCCUGAAGUGACUGGCGAGAGGACUCACAGAUUGACACCUACGCAGAAAAUAUUGAAAGAAAGGGGCUAUAAUGUUGAAAGUUCAUCGAUGGGUCUUGGUUAUCAACCGCCCUCUCCUGUUCGUAUAAUGAUCAAAAGAGCGAGUUGUAACUAUGUGAACGAAGAAAUUGAGGUCACAAGCCGAAAGAGAUUUGUGUUCGACCGAUUGGGAAAUAAGUCAAAACGUACUUCUGUGUUUGACAGACUUGGCCCGCAGCCGAAAAAUCUGAAGUCGCCCGUCUAUGAGAGAUUAGGCAGUAAGAAACAAGAAUACCAAGUUGUCAGGGAAGAAAGUCUUACUCCAAUAAAGAAGAACAGACCAAGAAAGCGAGUCUCCAAUUUCUUCAUGCACUAUGGAGACUUAUUCAAUGUAAGAAUUGAAACCAUUUUUGAAGAACAGGGUCAAGAAAGUACGGCUUCCUGUCACCAUAUUACGAUCAGUGAUCUUGAAGAAGAAGAAGAAGAUGCAGAUGACGCUCCCGCUGAACUUGAACAAGGGGUAAAAAAUACGGUCGAUGAGCUAAAAGAGAUUAACCUUGGCACAAGCGACGAUCCUCGCCCAAUUUACAUAAGCUCUUGUAUGACUCCUGAGGAAGAAAAAGAGUAUGUUGAUUUGCUGCUCGAGUUCAAGGACGUCUUUGCCUGGAAUUACUCAGAAAUGCCUGGUUUGGAUCCAAGGGUCGCCGUUCAUAAUUUGUCCGUCAAGCGAGGAACAAAACCUGUCAAGCAAACGCAAAGGCGCUUUCGGCCCGAAUUGAUUCCUCUGAUAGAAAAUGAGAUAAAUCGAUUGAUUGAAGCCGGAUUCAUACGAGAAAUAAAAUAUCCAACAUGGAUUUCAAGCAUUGUCCCUGUGAGGAAGAAGAAUGGGCAAAUCCGAAUUUGUGUUGAUUUUCGAGACUUAAAUGAGGCUUGUCCCAAAAAUGAUUUUCCGCUCCCCAUCACGGAAUUGACGGUAGAUGCUACGACCGGGCACGAAGCGCUAUCUUUUCUCGAUGGAUCGUCUGGCUACAAUCAAAUACGUAUGGCGCCCGAGGAUGAGGAGCUCACUGCCUUCCGCACUCCCAAGGGAAUUUAUUGCUAUAAAGUGAUGCCGUUUGGCUUGAAGAACGCUGGAGCGACAUAUCAAAGGGCAAUGCAAAGAAUUUUUGAUGAUAUGCUCCAUAAGAAUGUGGAGUGCUACGUCGACGACCUUGUGGUGAAAUCAAAGAAGCGAGAGGAUCAUAUUCAAGACCUUCGAAGAGUUUUUCAACGCCUUCGAAGAUACCA